rnacentral:lncRNA from 1 species
UCCUCUUGACAUUGUAAACUACAAUUUGGGUUCCUCUUGUCUAAUCAUCGGCAUUUCUAUCUUGUGUCUGGGAGCUAUGAGAUCUGAGUGCGUGCCCAAAUGGACGAAGCAUGGGGUUGCUGAAGAGAUGCUGUCUUACGGACCUUGCUGCAUGCACUUACCAUUUGGAUAGUUCUGUUGCUUGUAAGACAACUGGCCGGCUGGCAUUACAUUCCCUGUAUACAUUUUCCCAAUGAUUUACAAGAUAUACAUGAAACUGUGCCUAACUUCACUUAACAAUUGUACUGGCUUGUAUGUUCGAACAUCGGGGUUCUAUGUAUUUCUAGUAACUGGAGUGGCAAAUCUUUGCAUGUGCUUGUAAUGUGGGUGUAGCAGGCACACUUCUCAUUUGUGCUGCCAAGCACUCUGCUGAUGUUUAAGCUCGCCUGUUUUGCAAUGCUUGGCCUCAGGCAUUUACUUACUGUGCAGUGAUCAAUGCACUGGUCGUUUCUCACUGCUUGACAAGCUCUUUUGAUAUUUUAUUUGAUACAAAAACAGGCCUUCCUUGUUACUAAUUUAUUUAUGCAAUUUAUAUUUGGGUUAAAGAUUCUAAUUCUUUUUUUCGUUCAGGGUUUCUGCCAGGGCCUCUGCUGCAUGCACUUAUAUUUCCUAAAGGACCAACAAAAGAAGGUACCCUGGUUGCUAUCUGGGUUACUUGUGUGUUUGAACACCAUAGACCAUUGUUUUUUUCCUCUAUUGAAAUCUGAUGAUUCUGCGAUUAAUUUUGUUAGACGAGUCAUGUGUAGAUGUAGUGAUACUGAAGGUGCCCUGGUUGAUAUCUGGGUAACUUGUGGUUGAACACCAUAGAACAUCAUUUCUUUUUCUCUUUUGAAAUCUGAUGAUUCUGUCAUUAAUUUUGCUAGAUGAGUCAUGUGUAGGCGUAGUGAUACUGAAGGUGCCCUGGUUGACAUCUGGGUAACUUGUGUGGUUGAACAUCAUAUAACAUCAUUUCUUUUCCUCUUUUGAAAUCUGAUGAUUCUACGAUAAAUUUUGCUAAAUGAGUCAUGUCUAGAUGCAGCAAUACUGAAUUUUGUCAAUACCCGUCCUUUCUGAAUUUAGCAUUUCUUUGCCAUUUGGGAUGGCUAUGGUAUGGCAAAUGAAAUGCCAAGAACUCUAAACUCUUUCAUCCCUACAUUUUGCCAUGCCACCUUUCUCUACCUGUAGGAUGAUUAGUGAAUGGGGGAAUAGUUGCGUGUGAAGUGAUCAAAAUACAAACAAAUGUAGCUUGUCAUUUCCUUUUCCAUGGGACCGUUGAAGUUAUGGAUCUUUUUUGAGAAUUUGAUGUAGACUGAAAGUCCACACUGCUAUCUACUUCUGAUAUUCUGUACGAAUGGGCUUGUGAUGUUCAUCUUUCCUCUAUUAGUUGUGCUUGCUUUACGGAAAGGGUUCUAAGAAAGUCUUUUCUUGUUAUGCACCACUAUCACUCCAUGUGGAAUAUCAGUCAAAAGUUUUUAUUUUGCUUUUAUGUUUGUUGAGGUCCAGGGAUGGAGAUUCCUGGAUGCACUGGGUAUACACCUUGUCUUGGUAACCUCUGUCAACUAGCUGGAUGUGUCAAUGUUUCGUCAUUAAGAGUCCUUUUCAUACAAACGUUUUCUGUGUAUAGGUCUAGAUGUUAUUUUGAUCCCUUACAGUUUAACGAACUUAGAAUUCAUUGUAAGCCAUGCUUCUAUGUAGAUCCGCUACAGUUUUUUUGUUAAAAAGAUGGCAAGUUUUUAUGGAGAAACUAAAACGUUAUUUUGUAUUACAACUCCUGUAGCAUUUGGCACUAUCCUGCAGUGAGAAAUCUUAGUCGUAUGUAGCAAAUAAUCUGCAUGUGUCCAAAAACUUAGCACAAGUAUAUAUAUGCAUGUAGCAUGGUGGAAGUAGGACUGAAUGCUAGUUUAUUAACUGAGGCAAAGCAUCGUCCCUUGUCAGUUGCUUCCUCCAUCAAAGUUUUAAGGCCACUUAGUCUGGUUAAGUCAAAACUGUUCUAAAUUCGAGCUAGUUUGUAGAAGAAAAUAUCAACAUGUAUACAAUACCCAAUAAAUACAUUAUUACGAAGACCUAUUUCAUGACUGAUCUGGUGUUCUUUUUUCUACAAAUUUGGUCAAACGAAGUGGCCUUUUAUAUGCAUAGGUAAGAGGGAGUAAGAGAAGGCAAAGGCAAAUGGCUAGCUGUACUUGUCCCAUGUUGAUAGGUUCACGUGGGCUUUUGCUAAUUUUAUUACCUGAAACCUGGCAGUUUAUCCUGAAGCUCAUGCUUUUAGUUCCGUCCAGUUGGAUGCAAGCCAUUUUCAUUUUUGACCUGAUCAUACAUGCUACAUGCGUAUGUAUGCAUCAUGAAACAUUGGCAUUCAUCUAGAUGAUCAAGCGCCUCGAUGGAUAUAGCCUUUUGUCUUGGAUGAGUGUGUAAUUGCCUGGUUUCCUUUCACCCGUGUCAGAAAACUUGACCUUGGACUUGAGAAAUUAGUAUUGCUGUUCUUUUAGACUUUGUGUCUCACUUUUUAAAUCAUACUUUGCCUUCUCUUAUUUCUUUGUUCAUGUUUUGAGUGUCCACUGACAUUUUGAACCAUGUAAAACUAUAACAUGAAUAAAUAUAUUUCCGUCGUAGUUAAGCUAUUACAUUCAUCUGAUUAUUAUACUUCCUCUGUUCCGUAAUUCUUUCGUGGUUUUUAGUUAGAAAAAUGAACUAAAACCACCGACAAACCAUGACAAAAAUGAUUAUAUAUAUAUAUAUAUAUACAUAUACAUAUAUAUAUGCAUGUCCUGCUAACAAUAUUGUGGCUGUGUGUGUUUCUGGGUAAAAGGUUGUUUUAAAUCUGAAGGAAUUGCUUGUAGGCUAGGUUAUUGACAAGUUACUCCCUCUUUAAACAAAUGCAAGACGUUUUCGGUCACUACUUUAUAGUGUUAUAAAAUGUCUUACAUUUGUUUACAGCGGGAGUACCAUAUGUAGGAUGAAAAAGAAAUUCAAGGAAUUUACAAUUCAUGUGUUAUUGUUACUCAAAAGUGAGAUUGCAUUACAUAAUGUGCUAACAGCUGUAGUGAUGCUGAUCCGAUGGACAAGGACUGUCCGUUCGUAGUUUUUGUCCUUUGAACCUUUUUUUCAGGGCAAGGUUAGUUGGUUGCAUGGGUGACAGAAAGUGAGAGUUCUCAGCAGCAUCCUUGGUAUCCAUCUUGAUUCAUCUGGUUUGUCGCUGAUAUAUCUACUAUUCCAAGUGCAGUGCAGGGGGAGAUGAGAUUUUGUGAUUUUGCUUGGUAUGGAUGCAUGUAUGAUGGCUAAUUUCAGUUGUCUUGGGAUUAGAAUGCGAUAAAUAAUCUGCAAUUUCAUUGGUCAUCAUGAUUUAAUGAUGCUAAAUUUCCCCAACCUUGGGAUUUUUAUGCGCAGCAAGGACGCAAAAUUUUAAAAACCAAGCGGACUGACCAUUCAUGUGUUUUGAUGUUGUAAACUUGUGCACACGAAGCCAUGCUUUUGCCAAAUGGUAUGGCAACAAUUAUCUUCGUCAAACAUGUAAUUCAACCAAUAAUGAGCAAAAACACGACACUUGAAACGAAACAGAACCUCCAAUCCAGUUAAUAUCCAAGACUUCUAGUUUCAAACCUGCAGUACUCUUACAAAGGCAAAUUCUGGAAACAGUUUCUUAAAUCCAAUAAACAUUUGAGAAUACAAAAGUCAUAAGAUGGCUCAGAAGUAAAAUGGGUUGGAAACUGGUGGAUUGGAAAGUAGAACCAUCAGCGGCAAAUGUAUUUGACCUCAAUGUAAUUUCAGUCCGCAUCAUGGUAGGAUCGCUCAUAGGCAAAACCCUCAUCAUCUAGUUCUGUCAUUAUCCCUCCAAAAUGAUUACAACAACAAAGCAUUUAGUCCUGAACAAGUUGGGGUAGUCUAGAGAUGGAAUCCAUAAGAUCUCGCAACCAACUCAUGGCUCUGGCACAUGGAUAGCAAGCUUCCACGCACCCCUGUCCAUAGCUAGCUCUUUGAUGAUACUCCAAUCCUUCAGGUCUCUCUUAACGGACUCCUUCCAUGUCAAAUUCGGUCCCCGCCCUCUCUUGACAUUCUCCGCACGCUUUAGCCAUCCACUAUGCACUGGAGCUUCUGAAGGCCUGCGCUGAAUAAGCCCAAACCAUCUCAGACGAUGUUACCCCAACUCUAUCUCGUAUAUCAUCAUUCCGGACUCGAUCCUUCCUCGUGUGGCCACAUAUCCAUCUCAGCAUACGCAUCUUCGCCACACCUAACUGUUGAACAUGUCGCCUUUUAGUCGGCCAACACUCAGCGCCAUACAACAUUGCGGGUUGAACCGCCGUCCUGUAGAACUUGCCUUUUAGCUUUUGUGGCACUCUCUUGUCACAGAGAAUGCCAGAAGCUUGGCGCCACUUCAUCCAUCCGGCCUUGAUUCGAUGGUUCACAUCUUCAUCAAUACCCCCAUCCUCCUGCAGCAUUGACCCCAAAUACCGAAAGGUGUCCUUCUGAGGCACCACCUGGCCAUCAAGGCUAACCUCCUCCUCCUCACACCUAGUAGUACUGAAACCGCACAUCAUGUACUCGGUUUUAGUUCUACUAAGCCUAAACCCUUUCGAUUCCAAGGUUUGUCUCCAUAACUCUAACUUCCUAUUUACCCCCGUCCGACUAUCGUCAACUAGCACCACAUCAUCCGCAAAGAGCAUACACCAUGGGAUAUCUCCUUGUAUAUCCCUUGUGACCUCAUCCAUCACCAAUGCAAAAAGAUAAGGGCUCAAAGCUGACCCUUGAUGCAGUCCUAUCUUAAUCGGGAAGUCAUCAGUGUCGACAUCACUUGUUCGAACACUUGUCACAACAUUAUCGUACAUGUCCUUGAUGAGGGUAAUAUACUUUGUUGGGACUUUGUGUUUCUCCAAGGCCCACCACAUGACAUUCCGUGGUAUCUUAUCAUAGGCCUUCUCCAAGUCAAUGAACACCAUAUGCAAGUCCUUCUUUUGCUCCCUAUAUCUCUCCAUAAGUUGUCGUACCAAGAAAAUGGCUUCCAUGGUCGACCUCCCAGGCAUGAAACCAAACUGAUUUUUGGUCACGCUUGUCAUUCUUCUUAAGCGGUGCUCAAUGACUCUCUCCCAUAGCUUCAUUGUAUGGCUCAUCAGCUUAAUUCCACGGUAAUUAGUACAACUCUGAACACCCCCCUUGUUCUUGAAGAUUGGUACUAAUAUACUCCGUCUCCAUUCUUCUGGCAUCUUGUUUGCCCGAAAAAUGAGGUUGAAAAGCUUGGUUAGCCAUACUAUCGCUAUGUCCCCGAGACCUUUCCACACCACAAUGGGGAUACAAUCAGGGCCCAUCGCCUUGCCUCCUUUCAUCCUUUUUAAAGCCUCCUUGACCUCAGACUCCUGGAUUCGCCGCACAAAACGCAUGCUGGUCUCAUCAAAGGAGUUGUCCAGUUCAAUGGUAGAACUCUCAUUCUCCCCAUUGAACAGCUUGUCGAAGUACUCCCUCCAUCUAUGCUUAAUCUCCUCGUCCUUCACCAAGAGUUGGCCUGCUCCGUCCUUGAUGCAUUUGACUUGGCCAAUAUCCCUCGUCUUCCUCUCUCGGAUCUUGGCCAUCUUAUAGAUGUCCCUUUCGCCUUCCUUCGUGCCUAACCGUUGGUAGAGGCCCUCAUAUGCCCGACCCCUUGCUUCACCAACAGCUCGCUUUGCGGCCUUCUUCGCCAUCUUGUACUUCUCUAUGUUGUCUGCACUCCUAUCCAGGUAUAGGCGUCUGAAGCAAUCUUUCUUCUCUUUAAUCGCCUUCUGGACAUCAUCAUUCCACCACCAGGUAUCCUUAUCUUUGCUUCUCCUUCCCCUGGACACUCCAAACUCCUCUGAGGCCACCUUACGAAUGCAAGUCGCCAUCUUCGUCCACACAUUGUCCGCAUCCCCUCCUUCCUUCCAAGGGCCCUCCUUAAUGACCCUCUCCUUGAACGCUUGAGCUACCUCCCCCUUGAGCUUCCACCACUUUGUUCUAGCGACUUUGGCACGCUUAUCCCGCUGGACACGAAUCCGAAAGCGGAAGUCAGCAACCACCAGCUUAUGCUGGGGUACAACACUCUCCAGGUAUCACCUUACAGUCUAGGCACGCACGCCUAUCUUCUCUUCUCGAGAGGAUGAAAUCAAUCUGGCUAGAGUGUUGGCCAUUACUAAAAGUCACCAGAUGUGAUUCUCUCUUUCUAAAGAGGGUGUUAGCUACAAUCAUGUUGUAGGCUAGAGCAAAGCUUAAGACAUCUUCUCCUUCUUGAUUCCUGAUGCCAUAGCCAAAGCCCCCGUGCGCCCCUUCAAAACCUAUGUUAGAUGUACCCACAUGGCCAUUGAGGUCUCCUCCUAUGAAGAGCUUCUCACCAAUCGGUACACUCCUAACCAUGUCUUCCAGGCCUUCCCAGAACUCCCUCUUGGUGUUCUCAUUUUGGCCUACUUGCGGGGCAUACGGGCUGAUAACAUUGAGAACCAAGUCCUCAACUACCAGCUUGACCAGGAUAAUCCGGUCCCCACUUGCUUAAACAAAUCAGAAAAUACAAAAACAUGGGGCGGCCCAAAGUAAAAUGGGUUGUGUUGUGUUUAAUUAGUUUGUACUCCCUCUGUAAACUAAUAUAAGAGCGUUUAGAUCACUAUUUUAGUAUUCUAAACGCUCUUAUAUUAAUUUACGGAGGGAGUAAUAAUUAGAGGACAAUCUCCCCUUGUCCUGCGGCAUGCAGUUGCCUUGUAGCAACCGACGCAUCUCUCUUUCCCCUCUCUUGUAAUCGUUGCAUCGGUUCCAAGUCUUGUGCGAUGUGUCUCUUGCAAACAUAUAUAAGUUGUACUGUUUUCUACUCCCUCCGUUCCUAAAUAUAAGUUUUUUAAGAGAUUCCACUAUAGACUACAUACGAAGCAAAAUGAAUGAACCUAUACUUCAAAAGACGUCUAUAUACAUCCGAAUGUAGUCUUUAUAGUGGAAUCUCUAAAAAAAACUUACAUUUAGGAACGGAGGGAGUAUCAAUCAAUAUAAGUUGAUCUUUCGCUUAAACACGUUAUCACGCACGCUCUGCCGAGAGCACUCAAAGGCCUCGCCGACGGUGAGAUGCCUAACCUUGCUUCUUUCUUCCUCAGCCUCAUUCGUCAGGAUGGCCACCGUCGCCAUCAUGGAGUAGGCGGGUGCCGUCGACUUCGUCGGGCCGUGCACCGCCUCCACCGUUUUGGACGCCGUGGCGUUGGACAAGGCCACCAUGCCGCUGGACGCGGCCCUGGACGUGGCCUCCGCGCCCCUGGACACGGCCAUCGCGCCGCUGCUCGCCUUCGUCUUCGUGCCGUUCCCCAACGGCGCUACAGUGACGACCCAAGGUGCUGGACCGACGCUGGUGGCGCCGCCUGCAGAUGAGGACGCCGACCCGAGUUGCGUCGCCGCCGAGCCUCCGCGCGCCGACGACGCCGUGCCGGACGAGGCACCGCCGCCCCCGCGCACGGUCGCCCGACCACGCCUCCAGGACUCCACGAGCAUGAAGGGACGCAGCCGUCUGUUCGGUCGCGCCAUCGCCGCCAUCAACCUCCGCCCUAGUCGUCGCUCUGGUCUCGCCCCCGAUCUACCCAACGGCGCCGCUGCCGGUGCCAUCGACGUCUCCUCAUCCGAGGAAGAUGGAGGCGCGCCAGCGGCACUAGUAGAAAACAGGGCUUUCGUUCGGGCCUGGCCAGCCCAUUAGUCCCGGUUCCGCACGAACCGGGACCAAUGGGGUGCAUUAGUCCCGGUUCGUGAGCCCAGGGGGCCGGCCGGGCCACGUGGGCCACUGGUCCCGGUUCGUCUGGACCUUUUGGUCCCGGUUCAACGCACGAACCGGGACCAAUGCGCCUCGCCCCUGGCCCAUGACCAUUAGUCCCGGUUUGUGCCACAAACCGGGACUAAAGGAUUGGUCCUCGUUGCGGCCAGAGUUUAGUCCCACCUCGCCAACCGAAGGGCGCUCACACCGGUUUAUAAGCCCGUCCCUCUCUGCCUUGUUGAGCUCCUCUCAAAAUGAAAAUAGAUGCCCUUAUACAGGGAAUUUGACCUAAAUUCACAGUGAGUUUCUCUGAAAUUCAUAGAAAUUUAUUAUGAAUUUUAGGUUGAAUUUUCUCUAUAGGCGCAUCUAUGCUCAUUUUUUUAUGUUGGGGUUGGCGAUCUUUACAGACUUUUUGUGUGUUGAAUAUGCACCAUUCAAAAUCAGUCUCUACUUUGAAUGGUUCAUUUUGAACACACAAAAAGUCAGGAGUUCAAAUAAGUUCAAGAAAAUGAAAUCCCUUUGUAACAGAUGAGUUUUCGUCCGAAACCCUGAUACUUUGAAAGAGAUUGUCCAUUUUGUUCACGAAGUGCAUCCACCUUUUGCCGGGACAACCAUUUUGUUAAUUUUCAGAGUUCAUUUGAAAUGCUUUUCAAUUUUAGGGUCUUAUAGCUCAAAAAUAAUUAGUAAAUGCAUGAUAAAUAACAAAUGAAGUCAGAAAGGAUUGAAAAAUGAUGAUGUGGCUUUGAAUGGUGCAUUUUGAACAUACAAAAAGUCAGGAUUAUUGAAAUAUAUAAGUAGAAACAAAAUAAAAUAAACUUUAAUAAAAUUUACGAAACUAAAAUUAACAAAGUAUUUUCUGUUCAAAACAUUAUAAGAAACCUCUAGUAUUAUUGAAACUAAAAUCAUAUAAAAUUGAUGCAACUAAAAUUAUCGAAGUAUUUUCUGUUCAAAAUCUUUAAAAGCAAAAAGAAUUUUCAUAAAGAACUUUUUUUGAUAGAAACUUUAAUAGCAAAAAUAAUUAUCAUAAAGUAAAAUAAAUAAGUAAUUAGAAACAAAAUAAAAUAAAAUAAAUAAGUAUUUUGUUGUAAGUAGAAACAAAAUAAAAUAAAUAAAGCAAAAAAGAAAAGAAAAUAAUUGGGAAAAAAUAAAAAAUGCCACCUACUGGGCUACCACGGCCUGAAUACGACUAGAAACCCAUCCAUGGGCCAGGAUUCAGGCCCGCAGAAGGCCCAGCAAGCCCACAGGCAUAGCAGUGCAAGAUUAGGCCCAGAGGCCUGCAGUUCAGAGGAGUUCAAUGGAGAUGGCGGGGCAGGGCUUAUAAACAGGUCAUGCCGCUCCUCGGCUAGCGAGGUGGGACUAAACAUCCCACCGCACCGUGGCUUUGGCAGGCGCAGGACAUCGGUCCCGGUUGGUGCCAUGAACCGGGACCAAUGCCCACCUUUGGUCCUGGUUCGUGGCACUAACCGGUACCAAUGCCCACCCUUUAGUCCCGGUUGGUGCCACCAACCGGGACCAAAGCCCUCUGCUUCCCGCCCUUUGGGCUGCUGAAAAGAGGCCUUUGGUCCUACCAACCGGGACCAAAGAGGUGCAUUUGUCCCGGUCCUUGACAAGAACCGGGACUAAAGCUUCAUGUAUAUAAGGCACACUUGUGAAAAUUUUGUUUUGCAUCUUGCAGUUCGCCCCCGACGACGCGCGCGGAGAGGACGCCGCCAGGCUGCCGGACGCCGUCGCCGUCGCCCCCGCCGACGCCGUCCGCUGCCCANNNNNNNNNNNNNNNNNNNNNNNNNNNNNNNNNNNNNNNNNNNNNNNNNNNNNNNNNNNNNNNNNNNNNNNNNNNNNNNNNNNNNNNNNNNNNNNNNNNNNNNNNNNNNNNNNNNNNNNNNNNNNNNNNNNNNNNNNNNNNNNNNNNNNNNNNNNNNNNNNNNNNNNNNNNNNNNNNNNNNNNNNNNNNNNNNNNNNNNNNNNNNNNNNNNNNNNNNNNNNNNNNNNNNNNNNNNNNNNNNNNNNNNNNNNNNNNNNNNNNNNNNNNNNNNNNNNNNNNNNNNNNNNNNNNNNNNNNNNNNNNNNNNNNNNNNNNNNNNNNNNNNNNNNNNNNNNNNNNNNNNNNNNNNNNNNNNNNNNNNNNNNNNNNNNNNNNNNNNNNNNNNNNNNNNNNNNNNNNNNNNNNNNNNNNNNNNNNNNNNNNNNNNNNNNNNNNNNNNNNNNNNNNNNNNNNNNNNNNNNNNNNNNNNNNNNNNNNNNNNNNNNNNNNNNNNNNNNNNNNNNNNNNGAACUAGUUAAACAAGUUUAUUUUUAGUAAGUGCUUAGUAGUUGAACUAGUUGAUUUAAUAAAACUACUUUAUUUUACUAUAGAAGUAGUUUAUUUUAGUAAGUACUACUUUAUUUUAUUUAUAGUAAGUGCUUAAUUAGUAGUUGAACUAGUUGAUUUAAUAAAACUACUUUAUUUUACUAUAUAUAGAAGUAGUUUAUUUUUAGUAAGAACUACUUUAUUUUAUUUAUUUAUAGUAAGUGCUUAGUAGUUGAACUAGUUGAACUACUUUAUUUUUGCAAGAAAAUUAAUAGAACUAGUUUAUUUUUUUAGUUCAAGCAAUUAAUCCCGCAUUGACGUCGACGAUGCCUAUCCUGCAUCCUCGUCGUCGACUCGGUGGAGGAGGCCGGCUUGAUCAGAGGGGCCAUGUCCGGGACUGGGCUCCGCCGGGCUGGUUUUCGGAGGUGCUACCUUCCGGUGGGCGUAGGUUGGUGAGGAGCCAGCCCGUCGUUGACCCGAUCCUUGUUUGGUGGCGGUCGCGUGGGCCAGUGACGGUGCCGAGGCUUCCGGACACCGCGGAGGUGGUACGUCACCGUGUCAGCGAGGAGGACCAGCACGUCCGUCGCUACAUGGUUGCGUUGGAGGGCAGGUUCGACUAUACCUGGCAGGUUCUUCAGGGAUCUCACUGGAGCUAUGAUCCUGUGAUGGUUCCAUCCCUUUGGGUGUCCACCGCCUGCGCCGAUACCCGUCGGGCGCUACUGUUCUAGCUGUACUAGCGAUGCUAUAUGUAUGAUAGUAUUCGAGGUGUAUCAGUGAUAAUAUUCGACGAUGUACGGACGCAUGGUGAUGAUGUAGUUUUGCUUAUAAUUGAAUGCAUCCUAAUUUGAAUACUACUUUAUUUUGUGAUUUGAUUUUGCUUAUUGAAUGCUCAAAGUGGAAAACUACUCCUACUUUGAAUGCUAAAAUUGGAGAGCACUAUGCAAGGCGUAUGCAUAUGAUUAGUUGAUAGCUUAUAGGGUUUUUGUUUUCGCAGAAAUCUAGGAGCCCCCGGCCCCUCCAUCAUCCCCGCCGUCGUCCCUGUCACCGCCCCCUCCGACAUCGAGGUGAGACUAGCCAAAUCCUCUUUUAGAAAGGUAAUUAAACGAUAUUUCGGGUUGACUGUAAGUCUGUCGAGUCUCCACCAUAUAUGAGAGGACGAAGAAUCCCGACUGUUGUCUUGGGGGUAGCUUCUCCUUCGUUCCCGUGUGCUAGACAAUUUGGUGUAAUGCACUCGACAACGAAAGGAGGAGCUACCAUACCAUCACCGACGGUCGCAAAUGUCAGAGAGGAAUCAGUGAGGGAGAGUUCCACCAUAUAUAUAUGAGAGGACGAAGAAUCCCGACUGUUGUCGUGGGGGUCGCUUCUCCUUUGUUCCCGUGUGCUAGACAUUUUGGUGUAAUGCACUCGGGGACAAAUUGAGGAGCGACCAUCACCAACGGUCGAAUGUAUACACCACGUGAGCUGAGAGUUUUCAAGAAAAGACUCGACAAACCGAUAGUCAACCCGUGAUGAAUAAUAAUGAUCUAACUUAGGUUUUUUAGUAUAUAUAUUUAAUUGUAGACGUUUAAUAUUUGAAUUAUGAACAUAGGAAAUGUCGUACUCGGACGACGAAAGUCUCCCGGGGGAGUGCGACUGGUGCCACGACGACCGAGGUCAGUGCGAUAGGCCUCACCUGGACGAAGAUCGGCGCUUCAGUAUUAAGCUGGAGGAGACCUUCGAUGUUGAAACGGUAUGCAACGACGACAAGUGUUAUUUUUUCGUAAUUAAGCACGACUUCAACUAUUUCAACGUGUACUUUUCAUCUUUUACAAUUCGGCUAGCUUAUCCCAUGCCAUGCAAGACGCUACGUCUUGGAGAGGAUGGGUUUUGAAGACCAUGGAAGUAUGGAAACAAAAAAAUUCACCUAAGGACCCAUCAUGAUAUAGAUUUUGAAGUAAAUCUGUAUAAUUCUGAGAGCGUAACCCAUUUUGGUUGCAAAAAUUAGGAAGCAUUUUGCAAGAUGUAUGGUUUUGAUGAGGGUAUGCUUGUCACCAUGGAUCUUGGUGAUCCUGACAUCGAGCAAGACAAUAUGGACAUUUGGGUCCUUGUUGAUACGCCUCCAAUUCUACCGCUAUGUGAGUUUUUCAAACAUAGUUAUUAGCUAAUUUAUAUUGUUCAUUUCAAAAUAGUUGACAGCUUAUUUCCAUUGACAACUUAUUUUGAUUGUUCAAACAAUGUGCAGAACAUGGUAGACAGAACCUACUACACCGAUGGCUCUGAGUUAACUUAUAAUGAGAAAACUCAUCUGGUCGGAUUUUGUACUGAUCUUGAGAAUUACAAUAUCUAUUGUAAAACUCCUCCACAUUAUGGUCAAUACGUGCCACUAGUGCACGUGUUGAACUACGAUAACUACUAUGGAGAUACCUUGGUAAGAUUUCUUACUAUUACGACAUCCGUGCAUCUUUUGCAUACUUCUAAAACUAGUACAUCAUUGCUAACUAUGAAGUUAUUACUAUGUUUUUCAACAGAUAAUCCCAGAGGAUUGUGUGCCUCAUUUGAUGUAUCAGAAUGGUAGGCUUGAUGUUUUGAACAUACAACCAAGUCAUCCUACGAAUCUCAACUGUCCAUACCAGAUUUCUAAAAGAAGUGGAGACAUGCAAAUCAAAGAAUGGAAAAAAUAUAUGGACAGUCGCAAGGAGGUUCUUGGAAGCAAAAGGAAGCGAAGCGCAAGAAUUGGAGAUAGGAUGAUCUCCAUUCUCCAUAAUGGAGAGUCAGGGUCUAUAUUGUUUUAUGCUAUUUUACCUUAAAGAGGGUAUUUCGGUCCUACCUAAUACUGAUGAUCAUGUGCUAAGAACAAUUAAGUAGGGUUGGUUCAAUGACUAUGAGGAUGAUGAUCGUAUGACUGGUUAUUAAUAACGAGUAGAAGUUGUAUGAUGAUGAUUAGUAGGACUUGUUAUUAUAUAUGAUGACGCAUGAUGCGCGCAUGAAGAGUUAUUAUAUAUCAGCGGGUGAAAUGAACAUGGAUUGGAUUGAAGUGAAGGCAACAUGCAUGUGGUGCAUGUUGAAAGUAGUACAAUCCAAACUUGAUCAAGUUAGGAUUAGUAUUACUUUCGACAUGCACCACAUGUUGCCUUCACUUUAAUCUAAGCCAUGUUUAGGCAUAUCAGUACGUAGUGUUGGUAAAUCAAGCAUGGAGAUAUAAGAGAGGACACUUCUUUCUAAUAGCUACCUAAUAACAACCUAAAUUAACCCCCAAAACCCCUAAAUCAGCCCCUAUAAAAAAACAAAAACUUCAGCUCCAGCCAGAUGCUGACGUGUGGAUGCUUAUUGGUCCCGAUUGGUGUCACUAACCGGGACCAAAGGCCCCCCGGCCUGGGCUGGCCGCAGCGGCCACGUGGAGGCCCAUCUGUCCCGGUUCGUGUAAGAACCGGGACUAAAAGGUUAGGGCAUUAAUAACGACCCUUUAGUCCCGGUUCAAAAACUGGGACAAAAGGCCCUUACCAACCGGAACAAUAGGCCCUUUUUCUACUAGUGCGGGCCACCUGUGAGCAGCGGCGUAUGCGACGGCAGCACCCAGGCGUGGAUGUGGUCAGGACGAUUGCCUGGUUAAAAGGCCACCGACCGCCCCCUCUCCACUUGGGCCAUGGGUCUGGCCUAGAUCGCCCCAGGCUACGGGCCGAAUUCGUAGAAAGUUUUUUUUUUCUCUGGAUUGUCUCCUGUAUAAUUCUCGUAACAGUAGUUUCAACAGUAGUUUCAGUAGUAUUUUCUCACUGAUUAGUACUCCCUCCGUUCUUAAAUGUAAGUUUUUUAGAGAUUCCACUAUAAAGACUAUAUUCGGAUGUAUAUAGACGUCUUUUGGAGUAUAGGUUCAUUCAUUUUGCUUCGUAUGUAGUCUAUAGUGAAAUCUCUUAAAAGACUUAUAUUUAGGAACGGAGGGAGUACUGUUUAGCCUAUGUGCAUGUUGUUAUUUACAUCCUAGUCUGGUAUUUAGAUUUACUCUAUUUUAGGACUUGUGUAAAUAUUUGUAGGCGUGUGUUUACAUUAUCUAAUGUACUCCCUCUGUCCGGAAAUACUUGUCAGAGAAAUGGAUGUAUUUAGAGUAUUUUAGUUCUAUAUACAUCUACUUUUAUCCAUUUCUGUGACAAGUAAUUCCGGACGGAGGGAGUAUUUGAUAAUGUAAAUAAAGGACCAGCAUUAUCUAGAAAUGUCACGUUCAAUGUGUUUACCACAUUCCAAUUUUCUAGAACAUGUUCCAACGAUUGAGAUUAAUUUCUCUCAUACAACAAACUUGCAAAAUUUUGAUACACACCUCCCUCACUAUAUUUGGAACCACGGUCUAUGUUUUGUCCAUUUCGACAAAUGAUUACCUCCAACAUGUACUUUCUUAUAUUUAAAUUGAUAACAUAUACAAGGUAAUAGAAACAAGCGCAUCUACUGACAUUGUCAGAUUAUGUAGCCUAUUACCGUGAGAUCCAUGCGAUCUUUGACGUGUUAUGUUCAAUCAAUUGAGGUCUACAUUAUUCAAGUUCUUCACUUGAGUAUCAAAUUUUGCACCAUUAUUACAAUACAACCAUGAUGGUUUUUGAUUUACCCUCCAUAAAUUAAUUAUCUCUGGUUCAUCCAUGUAGGUAAAUGAUGACCACAAAAGAAUUUGAGGAGCUUGCCCUCAAUGGCCACAACUAUCCUACAUGGGCCAUGGACGUCAAGAUCAGUCUUGCUUCCCGUGGGAUAGCGCGUGCAAUCCAGGACUCGGAGACUCCUCUACCGGCCGAAGCCACGCUGCUGACAUAACAACAAAACUAUGCAGCUUUAUGCAUCAUAAGGCAUCAUAUUCACCCAGAUUUAAGUCUGAGUACUUAGAGGAGGAAUCUCCCAACUCUGUUUCUAGCCCUCAAAACGAGAUAUGAACAGCAGAAGGCAGUUGUCCUACCAGAAGCACUCCAUGAUUGGACUCACCUUUGUCUUCAGGAUUUCAAGUCCGUCGGUGAGUACAACCACAAGGUUCAUCAGAUAAGUUCUAAAUUACGUUUUUGCGGGAAGGAACCUACUGAUGCGGAGAAGAUAGAGAAAAAUUUAUCUACUAUGCUCCCUUCGGACAAGAUCCUCCAGCAGCAAUACCGUGCUUGCAACUAUACUAUAUAUUCCGAGCUUAUUCAUACGUUACUUCAGGCUGAAAAGCAUGAUGAGCUACUCGCUAAGAAUGGCUCUCAACGCCCAGUUGGGGCACAACCUUUACCUGAAGUUCAUAUGAAUGUCGCGAAUAGACAGAAGUUUGAUGUUGCCUUUAGGGGCAAUCAAUCAAAUUUCCAGAACAAGCGAAAGCGCAUUAGGAACAGGAGGUCUAGGAACUCAGACAAGGGAAAAGGCACUGCAAAACCCAAACUUGAUAAAUCUCAGCUUUGCAACAAGUGUGGAUGCUACACGCACCCCACUGACAAGUGCAAGAUCCCAAAGCAUCUGGUUAUGCUGUACCAGCAAUCUCAGGGACGCAGAGCACCUCAAGGAAAGAGGUUUGAAGCCAACUUCAACCUUCAUCCGGACAACGCCAAUGGAGCCGGUAGUUUGCACGACGUUCCUCCUGGACCGAGCAACACCAUUGCGUUCCAUCAGCCAGUGGACCUUGCUGACACGGAGAACAUGAUGAUUGAGUAUACCUCAAACGACGUGUUUGGAGACUUCGACUAGUCCCAAAAUCUCCUUAGUGAUCUAUUUAGCCAUGUCCAUUUGUGAUGUUGUAAUAAGAAUAUAAGUAUUGUUAUUGUCUUUAUAUUGUAUCAGCACAUUUGAUAUAAUAAGAUUGUAAUUGUACCAACAUAUUUGAUAUAAAUAAGAUUGUAUUCUAUGUAUUUACAUGAGAUUUUCUUAUUGAAAGUUCUUUGUCUUAUAUAUAGUUCUCUACGGUGACAAUCUGAUGGAAGAGGAAUUAUGCCUUGUGGACAGUGCAACCACGAACUCCAUACUGAGGGAGAUGAAAUAUUUUCAAACUCUGAGAAAGAUGAAUGGAGAUACUCUAACUAUCACUGGACGCGAUACGGUAAUCGUUGGCACUGGACGUGCCAUAUUUACCCUCCCAGGCGGUACACAAGUGACAAUUGAGGAUGCUUUGUUGUAUCCCGACUCAUCACGUACCCUGACCAGUUAUCGAGAUAUCCGUAAAAAUGGCUUUCACAUUGAAACCCAUGAAGACAACAAAGAGGAGUAUCUACUCUUCACCAAAGAUCACGGAUAUGGCAAGCAGGUACAUUGAAAAAUUCCUUCUCUAUCGUCUGGUUUGUACUACACGUACAUCAAACCCGUAGAACAUGUUGCAUACAAAGUAAUUUUCCAAAAUGUUGAAGCAUUUCAAACCUGGCAUGAUCGCCUAGGCCAUCCAGGUAUCGGGAUGACGAGAAAAAUUACUAGCAAUUCCAUUGGUCAUAAUUUGCUUGAGUCAAAAUUUCCUCAAUCUUCAAACUUUGUGUGCACAUCUUGUGCCACGGGAAAGCUAAUUUUGAGACCCUCUCACCUUAAAAUACAAGCUGAACCACUUCAGUUUCUUGAACGUAUUCAAGGAGAGACAUUUGUGGUCCCAUCCAACCAUUAUCCGGACCUUUCCGGUACUUCAUGGUUCUAAUUGAUGCAUCUACACGAUGGUCACACGUGUGUCUUCUAUCCACGCGAAACCAUGCAUUUGCCAAGAUAAUGAGGCAAGUCAUUAAAUUACAAGCCCAUUAUCCAGAAAGUCGAAUUAAGUCAAUCCGCAUGGACAAUGCUGUAGAAUUCUCCUCACGUGCUUUUAAUGAUUAUUGCAUGGCCCUGGGGAUUGAAGUUCAACACUCCGUUCCAUAUGUCCAUACACAAAAUGGUUUGGCUAAAUCAUUGAUUAAAAGGAUCAAACUCAUUGCAAGACCUUUGAUAAUGAAUUGCAACUUGCCAACCUCUUGUUGGGGUCAUGCGGUUCUACACGCUGCCGACUUGAUACAAUUGAGGCCUACUGCAUAUCACAGUACUUCCCCUUUGCAAUUGGUACGUGGAAAUCCUCCUAACAUUUCCCAUCCGUGUAAUUUCAGAUGUGCUGCGUACAUACCGAUCUCACCACCACAACGGACAUCCAUGGGCCCACAUAGGAAACUGGGGAUCUAUGUGGGGUACAAAUCGCCAUCGGUUAUUAAGUACCUGGAACCCCUUACUGGGGACCUGUUGACAGCCCGUCAUGCUAAUUGUAUAUUUAAUGAGGAACACUUUCCGGCAUUAGGGGGAGACUUCAAGUACCAGAAAGAAUGCCCGAAAAUUGAUUGGAAUGCUCAAGCCAUUUCGUCCUCUGAUCCACGUACACAAGAGACUGAACUCCAGGUUCGGAAAAUCAUUAAUUUGCAACAUAUUGCAAAUAACCUGCCAGAUUCAUUUACUGAUCUAAAAGGUGUUACAAAGUCCUUAAACUCGGCCAGGAAUGCGCCUGAAAGAGUGGAGGUACCAAUAAAAACCACUCAACUCCCUGUUCCUAAAAAGAGGGGGAGUAGUACGGCCUCUGACCUGGAACAAUCAUCCAGCAAGCAACAAAGGAAAUCGAGGAGAAAAACCUCGGAGUCAGUAAAUGCAAGUCAGCUCAACGUUGACAAACACCUUAUGGGUAGUAUACACCCAGUGGAAGGGAAACCUCCACAACCCAGCUUCAGUUUGCACACACUGGCUGGGCCAUCAGAACACCCACACUCAUGCGUAUUGGGAAAUCACGAAGAGUCACUAGGGGUGCAGGAAAUUCCCAUCAACUAUAUCGAUCUAGAGAAUCUUUCGAUCGUAAGUCUACGACUGUCGACAUUUAUUUUGCUGAAAAAAUUACAGAUAUCCUUCUCACUAAUCAUGAUCCAAAGACUAUCGUUGAGUGUCAAAAAUGCUCCGACUGGCCUAAGUGGAAGGACGCAAUACAAGCAGCAAUUGCCUCGCUUAACAAAAGUAAGGUAUUCACUGAAGCAAUACCGACACCUCCCAAUGUUUUCCCUGUCGGAUACAAAUGGGGUUUUCUAUGAAGAUGGAAUGAGAACAAUGAUGUGGUGAGAUACAAAGCAAGGCUCGUAGCACAAGGGUUCACGCAGAGACCCGACAUUGGUUUCAAUGAGACGUAUUCUCCUGUGAUGAGUGGAACCACUUUCCGAUACCUUAUAUCUUUGGCAGUGCAAAACCGUCUAUCUAUGCAGUUGAUGGACGUCGUGACCACAUAUCUUUACGGGUCACUAGAUUCGGACAUGUAUAUGAAGGUUCCUGACGAAAUCUCUAUCCCGAAUACAAGCGCAAAACGCAACAUGUAUUGUGUAAAACUGAAUAAGUCAUUAUAUGGCUUAAGACAGUCGGGACGGAUGUGGUACAACCGACUUAGUGAGUUCCUUCUUCAUAAAAGUUACUCCACUAGUAGUGAUUUCCCAUGUGUCUUUAUCAAAGAGUCCUCUACAGGAUUUUGUAUCAUUUUAGUGUACGUCGAUGACCUGUACAUCAUUGGCAACGCAUAAGACAUUGAUGAAGCAUGCAAUCACCUAAAGAUGGAAUUUGAGAUGAAGGAUUUGGGUAAAACCAAAUUUUGCUUAGGUAUUCAAUUUGAGCACCUUCCCUCAGGAAUCAUGGUACACCAAGCUGCUUAUAUCUAUAAAAUAUUGGAGAAAUUCAAUAUGGACAAAUCCUACCCAUCUAAAACUCCCAUGGUGGUUCGCUCUCUAGACGUAGAGAAAGAUCCGUUUAGGCCAAGGGACGACGGAGAAGAAAUAUUGGGACCUGAGGUUCCAUAUCUCAGUGCCGUUGGAGCGCUCACGUAUCUUGGAAAUUGCACGAGACCUGACCUCGCAUUUGCAGUGAAUCUGCUUGCUAGACAUAGCAUAGCUCCCACCAAACGCCAUUGGUCCGGAGUUAAGAAUGUCUUUCGAUAUCUCCAAGGCACAAAGGAUCUUGGCCUAUUCUUUCAGUUCCAGAGAAAUCAGGACUCUAAUAUGAUUGGAUACGCCGAUGUUGGCUAUUUAUCUGAUCCCCAUAAUGCUAGAUCGCAGUCAGGCUUUGUAUUCCUACAUGGUGGAGCUGCCAUAUCAUGGAAGUCUUCAAAAUAGACUCUGGCACUACAAAAAAAAGACACAUCCGUGACAUUUUGGGCCGAACGAAUUUUUUUUCUGUCAUACUUAUGACACUUCUAUGACGAUAAUUGUGACAAAACCCGGUAUCAUCAUAGAUGUGGUGGACUCCUACUUCUAUGACAAAAAAUCAUGACAGAAAAUGGGCUUUUCGUCCUGGUCGGGGCCUGAGACGCAGCUGCAUGACAUUCUUUGGGCCGUCCAUGACGGAAAAAACCAUGGUAGAAGCGAGGGCGAGGAAAAUAUCGGGGUGUUCCCAGUUACGGUGGGUGGUCGGGGCCGAGCGAUGCGUGUUUCUCUCGUACACGCACGCGCGUGGGUGCGAGGCGUUGGGCUCUAACUGAACCCGAGUGAGGCGUUGGGCUCUAACUGAACCCGAGCGAUUGCACUGCAGGCUACGCGUUACUGAACCCGAGUGAUCGAUCGAUGGCUGUUAACUGAACCGGAUCAAGCGAUUCCUUCGCUACUGCUGCUAACUGAAGCCGAUCGAUGCUGCCUCUGGAUGAACAGUGAGCGUUGCUGGGGGGGGGGUUUGGAUGAACAGUUCCCGGUGGGGGUGGAUGAACAGGACCCCAUGGUGUUGCCUCUGGAUGAACAGGACCCCGAUCGAUCGAGCCAGUUGGGGCUGGAUGAACAGGACCCCGUGGAGGGCUGGAUGAACAGGACCACCCUGUGGAGGGCUGGAUGAAUAGUAGACGGUGGAGGGCUGGAUGAAUAGUAGCCCGUGGAGGGGUGGUUGAACAGGAGCUCGUGGAGAGGGCUGGUUGAAUAGUAGCCGGUGGAGUAGCGUGCGGUGGAGGCUGGAUGAACAGGAGCCCAUGGAUGAACAGUCGCAGGUGGAGGCUGGAGGAGGUCGACGGUGGCUGAACAGUAGCCCGUGGAGGCUGGAGGGGGUCGACGGUGGAGAUGAACAGUAUCCCGUGGAGUCCCGUUUUGUGGUACGCCACACCCCUCCCGAUGAACAGGACCCCCGUUUCGACCGUAGCGCUCCAACACAAGUCCGUUUCCUCCGUUUUGCGGUACGCCACACCCCUCCCGAUCAACAGGACCCCCGUUUCGACCGUAGGAGGUCCGUUUCCUCUGUUUUGCGGUACGCCAGACCCCUCCCAAUGAACAUGAUCCCGUUUCGAAUGUGGCCGGUCGAACAUAAGGCCAUUUCCUCCGUUCUGCGGUACGCCAGGCCUCGUUUCCAUCGGCUGUUCCGUCCAAGCCCUCCCGAUGAACACGACGACGCAUUCCGUUUCGACCCAGCCGGUUGGCUCCCCAUGAACACGACGACGACGCUGUUUCUCCGUUCUGACCCAACCAUGUACACGAGCCCUGGUCGUACGUAUGCGCGAGUAGGCAUUCGAAACCCCACCCGUAUGUACGUACAUGGCCGUAUUUUCUUUCUUGCACACUGGCCGCUGUACGUACGUGUACAUGCUACGUCCGCGCCUCUACUACGACACGUGCGCGCCUUUACAUCGACCAGCAUGUACGUACACAUUCAUGACCAGAAUGACAACACUACGUAUACUUCGACCAGGUGGGUCUCGACUGUCAGGCACUUCCUUGCGUGCGAAGAUGUAGCUGGUGGGUCCUAGCAGUCAGGGGGGCGAAUCAUUUUUUUACCCGGACGCACUUCCUUGCGUGCGAAGAUGUAGCUGGUAGGUCCCAGCAGUCAGGGGGAAACGCUUUUUUCGCGAAAUACGGUUGCCCGUCUGGUGGGUCCCUGUUGUCAGGUGGAGGAAUCAUUAUUUUCCGCGUAAUAAGGAGGCACUUCCUUGCUGCGGCCGUGGACCCAGCUAUCAGCCUCUCCACGUACAGUCCAUGUCCGAUGGAAGCCGUUCCUUGACCACGUUUACCACGCUGCGCCGAGAGCACCAGGGCGGUGGACAACGGCGAGGCCUAGGAAGGGGACGACGUGGAGCCGGGGAAGACGUGGCAGUGGAUGCCCACGCGUAGAGGAGUAUGAGGGUUCAGUGUUUCGCUGCGGUGUGAGGCUGCCGUCGCCGCAGAAUAACAGGGGGUGUGGGUGAGUAGAGGGAUGGCCUGGCCAGCAGUGGGAGUAGUAGGGGGUGGUGAGGCCUCCACGGCAUCGCAGCCGGCCACGGGAGGCAGGAGCACGAGGCACGCCCGGCGCUGGUUUGGGUGGCUGGAGCAAGAAGACCAGAGGUUGAAGAAGCACUACGGCCGUUGGAUGGACAUCGUACGGUCACUGGAGCUUGAAUCGUUCAUAUUGACUAAGUUGACAAAGCCCUCCGUCCCCGUCAACUUAGUAGGCCCACAAGUCAGCCUCCCACUGUGGUGGGUCCCAGCUGGCAGUGGGUAUUCAUUUUUUUGUGCGCAAUAAGGAGACACUUCCUUGCAUGCGAAGAUAUAGUUGGUGGGUCCGACCUGUCAGCGGAGGGAAUGUUUUUUUCGUUAAAUACAGAGGCCCUUCCGGCGGGUCCCAAAUGUCAGGUGGAGGAAUCAUUAUUUUGCGCGUAAUAAGGAGGCAUUUCCUUGUGUGCGGCCGUGGACCCAGCUGUCAGCCUCUCCACGUAUAGUCCACUUUCGAUGGAAGCCGUUCCUUGACCACGUUGACCACGCCGCGCCGAGAGCACCAGGGUGGUGGACGACAGCGAGGCCUAGGAAGGGGAUGACACAGAGCCGGGGAAGACGCGGCAGUGGAUGCCCAUGCGUAGAGGAGUAUGAGGGUUCACUGGUUCGCUGCGGUGUGAGGCUACCGUCGCUGCAGAAUAACAAGGGGUGUGGGUGAGUAGAGGGAUGGCCUAGCCUGCGGUGGGAGUAGUAGGGCGCGGUGAGGCCUCCGCGGCAUCACAGCAGGCCACGGGAGGCAGGAGCACACGGCACGACCGGCGCUGCUUUGGGCGGCUGGAGCAAGAAGACCAGAGGUUGAAGAAGCACUACGGCCGUUGGAUGGACAUCGUACGGUCACUGGAGCUAGAAUCAUUUAUAUUGACUAAGUUGACAAAGCCCUUGGUACGCGUCAACUUAGUAGGCCCACAGGCCAGCCUCUGAAACGGUGCGCCCCAUAUGUCAGGGGGAGGAAUCAUUUUUUGGGCGGCUGAAGCAAGAAUAUCCGAGAUUGAAGAAGAAGCACGACAUUCGUUGGAUGGACAUCCAACGGCCACAACUGCUAGAACCGUGUGUUGUUGACAAAGCCUUGCAUACGCGUCAACUUAGGUUUUUUAGGGGACGCGUCAACUUUGAAGGCCCACAAGUGUGUGACAGAGAACAUAUAGCCCAUUUGCGAUUUGUAAGAAUGUACAUCCCAUUUUUUAAUUCUAAUGGAAUUUACUACAGCCCAUUUACAAUUUGUUAAAAGUACAACCCAUUUUCUAGCUAGGACAACGAUUAAUAAUUUCAACCAUUCCUCAAAAAAAGAUUCAUAAUUUCAACCAACCGCUCAAAACAGAAUUCAAAAAAAUUUCCCACAUUUUUAUGGGAUCCGAAAUAUUUUUAUCCGAAAUUUCUAGUCAGAUUAAAUAUAAUUUCGAAAUAAAGUUGUAUUAUGUUAAAAUCCAACGAAAUAUUGCGCGCGCAACAAGUAAUGAAAUUAAAAAUUUCAAAUUCCAAAAAUAAUAUAUUUUUAAACUAAUUACGCAUUUGGUGCAUUUUUUUAUAGUUAUUGCCCAGUUAUUAUAAUUACAUCCCAUUUACUAUUUCUUAAAGUCCAUUUUCUUGUUAAGCCUAAUGCAUACCUCCUAGGAAAGUUUGCAGCCCAGCGGGGCGGAGAAUAACAAGUUGACCCGGAUAUUGUGUACAACUGUCGGCCCAGUUGCAUUGCUGAUGUUGAAAAAAAGGCCUGUGUAGUACAGUACAACCUAACAUGGCUACUCAGCCCACAUUUAGCGACACCGGAAAGGCCCAAACAAGGCUUCUGUACAACUUUUUGAAGUCACUGAGCUCAAUUAAUAACUUAAGAAAAAAGUUAGAUUACAGCGGAACCUAAUUAAAAGCCGUCACAAGCAAAGAAAUAAUUCAACGGGUCCCACUUGUGCGUGUGUGUGUGAGAGAGAGACCCAUCGGUCGAUGCUCGUAAAUACAUCUUUCAGCCAUAUGCAUUGCUGAUGCUCAGUAAAAACUUAUAUAGUUGACACAAUCAUAUAGAACAUCAUAGCACACUGAACUUGCAUACAAAAAAUUCACGCAGGCGGCACAAUCAGGAUGGAAGCAGCGGAUCGCUACGGGUAGGGCUAUGUUGAAACCAACGAACUCGUACAUAACGGUUCAUCAUCUUCAUCAAUGACGGGGAAAUAUCUUGAAUGCUGUGCAAAGAAAACAGACAGACAACACAAUAAGUUCUGCUAGCACAUUAAGUUGACGUACAACCCUUUCUAAAAAAAGUCCAGGUACAAAAUUAGAACAUGUCACAAUCAAAUGUACUGGCACAUCAGUGCUUCACACCCAUAGCUCGGAUUUAACUAGUAUCUGACAAGAUUCAGUAGUUACCUCAAAUUAGAGCACAUCCAGGCAGCCAGCCCUGCCUCUUCUCCCAAAGAAGCAGUGGCCUCUGCCGCGCGAUGGAGUAGGCCGUGUGCCAUCCAUCAUUCCGAGAAACACGGCGAAAGUCUGACGUUGACUCCUGUAAUGGACGUCGUCGACGGACCCUGGCACCAGCGGCGGCGGCAGGACUUCGAUUGAUGGAUCGACCACUUCUUCGACAUGCACGGACACUCGAUACAGGCACAUCCCUAACGUGGUCAGCGGCGGCCUUGGUGGCGACGAAUAGUACAACCCCGGUUCCUGCACCGGUAUCUCAACACCAAUCACCUUGGUAUGGUGGAUGGCUUCUUCAUCCAUGCCAUAACCGUCAGAGCCCAGCUGUCUGGAGGAACAAACAUACUUACGAGCUCACCUCCAAGGUCAUUGAUAUGCUCAUUCAUGGACUCGCUGUUCCAAGCACGUCGAGGCAUGCCGUGGAAGGUAAGCUUUGUUAAAAACUCAAGCUCAGAGGGCACCGAGCCCCAUCCUGGGUGCCACCGAUCAAAGCUCACCAGCGCACCAUCGCAGAACAAACGCCGGGAAGAUUCGAACACAUGACCGCAGUCGAAAGUUGUCCGGAACCUGACGAAGAAAUCAGCCGGUGGCGGACAGACUUCGAUGAGCAAGUCACUUAUUUGGAUGCCGUGCGCAAUGCCAAGAGCUUUGACAAGGUCGUCCGGCGAGACGGGAGGCCGGUCGCCGUUGAUGGUUACCAUCAGCACUUUGCCAGCAAACUGGCCGUCAAGCGCCGCCAUGCCACUGUUGAGCGAUAGCACGCAAUGACCAAAGGCAGGACGGACCUCAGGAUCUCCGGCUCGGAGAUCCGCGUUGACCAGCGACAUGAUAGUGCCUUGAGUACAGGGAGUACAGGAGGGUGAUUUGGGGGAACUGGAGUAGGAAUCGAGAUUCCAGAGGUGGGGGAGGGGCGGGAGAUUGGGGAUGAAAAGGUAGCAUGAAUUUCGAACACGUGCCAAUAUGCUCUCGGCGCGCAAGCGCACGAAAACACCGGUGGCGCCCACAUGUCGGCCUAAGAGUCCUUAUUCUUUCUUUUUUGGAGAGCCUGGCCUUUUUUGAGGAUCUUUUGAGAGCCCGGCCUGAGAGUCAUAAUUGACCUGUUUGGCAUUGCGUUAGUACUCGGGCCAUAUUCAACGACACCUCACUGGCCCAAACAAGUGUACAUCAUCGAAAAGACACUGAUCUCAAAUUAUAUAACUUGAAAAAAGGAGAUACACUCUGAACACUUGAGAAUGGUGAUGCCCUCAUUUAGCCCACCAGUAGUUCGAGACAAUAAACAGUUCGAAACAACGAUAUAUACAACAUUCAAACACUUACUAGUGACUACUACUGACAUAAACAACAAGACAUGAUAGUUCAUAAGAAGUCUUGCUACACCACCAAAAUGCACCCAUCUGCAGCGCUCAGACUCUUGUGAUCCAGACGAGAAUGACAUUCUAAACAGAGGCCACUAUUACAUAGUAAGAGUGACAUAGACGAGGAUGACCAAAUGACAAGGAAUAUGCAUAACAAAAGAAAGAAUUACCCAUCUAGAACAAGCAGCAAAGACAACAAAGUCAUUCGAAGAGAUGAUCCAACACCAUCAUAAUUUGCAGCCCCGCUUCAGCGACCAAUGAUCGGGAGACACCAGUACUCCACCCUUUUGACGCAACAACCUAAUUACCUAUCAACCUGAAGGCUUGAACCACAUCACUGCCUGUCGUAAUUGAGACAUCCAAGGAUCAAAGUUAAUCCGGAUGCCUUUGUCAUUCUCACCUUCUUUUUGCUGCAGGCUGUAUCGUUGACAAUCAGGGGAGUUUGCUCCCGAACUCCUAGGGCUCGCCGUGUAGACACAGUUUUCCAUUGCAAACAGAGCCUCUCUGCCAUCAAGGUCCUUGCCAACGGUGAUCUCCUGGUUAAUCGGAUAAUUGAGUCCGAGAAACAGAGAGUGUGAACCAAGGUUGUUUACCAGCCUCCAAGUAAAAAAUCCCGAAGGCCCCAACAAGCUGGUAUCCUGCUCAUAGACGUAACAGCCACUGUCCGGAUACUCACGUAUUUCACGGUGCUUGUAUACAAUGGGGUUUUUGCAAUAUAACUUUUUCGGCUCAUGUGUUCGAAUGAUCAUCAGUCUUUUGCCAUCGUCUGAUAGAGCGAGGAACCAUUUGUGCUUCCCUGUUUUUGGCAAAGGUGGUGUGAUUACAAAGGGCAGUAACUGUAGGGACACUGCAUCAUAUAAAAAAGGACAGGCAUUGUUAAUGUAAGAUCAGCAGUGUUCAGAGUAUGAGUAGGAUAAUGCAAGAAACAACAUUGAUAUGUCCCUGUUGGAACUGGGAGGAAAAUACAGGGAAAUGUAUACUGGGUUCGAAAAUAUAGAAGUGCCAUGCAUGGUUAUACUCUUGUUAUCUCGCAAUCGAUUCUUCACAGGAAGCUACCAUGUCAUGGAUGUUAUGUAAUCAUGUUCUGUCGUCACAAACAAAUUCUUCAAGGUAACUAACAGACCAUGCAUUGUUAUAUACUCGUGUUAUGUGGGCAAAUUUUUUGUGAGGAUAUUAUUCUAGCCAUUGGUUGCUGAAGGGCGAAUAUAGGUAUGUACACAUGGUAAUCAUUACAGGAUUUCACUACUUCCAAAUAUAGAGUUCUCCAUAUGCACAUUUACUUCCCUAAUGUAUGGUUAGAUGAAACCAACAGUGUGGUGCAUGUUUCUACAUCAUGAAAAUGAGGAAACUAACAUGACCAUUGAUACACACUCAUAUUUAGUAGUAGUAUAUAGAUUACUGUAAAAUAAGGAGAAUAUCCAUAUAUUCCUAACCGUUUGAUUAUUCAGGGGUACAAAUUGGCUGUAAUGACAUGGUCACAAUCGCAUGAAUUAACUCAUUCCAAAUAUAGCUGAUUUACGACAUCUCUAAUACAUUGCCAUAGUUCUACUCAAAUUCUGCUCAAACAGGGAUAUGCCAAUCAUCACAAAAAGUUCAAACAGUGUCAUGGCGUCAUCAUUAACAUGAGACGGAAACAACUUACACACGCCGUCCCAGCAAUACGUGGUGCCAUCUGCUUUGUCGAUCGCGUAGAUGAUGCCAUUGUGUUCAAUAGCAUCACAGAAGUGUGUAUCAUCUUUGAGGAUGAUCCACUGCGAGCUGAGUUGUCUCUAGCUAAAGAAGGCUAGGCGAGUCCGCGGUCAAACAAGGCAAUUAGCUUGAAGUCUACGUAAUUCGCAUGUCGUGUGGGCACUUGGCAGAUUACAAUCUUCUGCAAAACAAGGUCCGUCCAACUGACAUGGUAAUUAGAUGACUUGGACCGUGAUGGUAAAACUCUAUAUAAUCCAACGGAGGAAGGAUAAUCUCAUGGGAGGUCUGGAAGUUCACGAGCACCAAAUUUUUACUGUCUUCCCCUUCUCUGAAGGCAGCCAUCCAGUGGGAGUUCAUGCCGACCUAGUACAUACCUGCCAAGAAGUUUCGGGCGAUGGUGAUUGGAUCGAAGUCGAGGGAAAUGAUGUACGGCGACCCACUACAUACCUGCAAAGAAGAUUCGGCUAAUGGAGAUCGGAUUGAAGUCGAGGGGCAUCAUGUACGCCUCCGUAUCAUGGUGAGCCAAUCUCGCAAGACCAGAUAGCAGCAAGCAGGGUGUCUUGAAAAGCUUAGGCCUCGCUUCGACGAUGGCCGUGUGCAUGUCCCUCGAGCAUGCAGCCAGCCGCAGGGCGCUCAACAUAUCCAUACACGAACAACAGAGGUCGAGGAUGUCACUGGGGAGACUGCUCUAAUCGCGGCUCAUAUGGAUGCUGCGCAGUUCGCGUUCGGCCAUGGUGGAGUUUGGAAGGUGGGGUUUUUUGGGGGCUUGAUUUACGGGGGAGAAGGCUGUAGGUGCUGGAGCGGCUAGCGAGGGAAUAGUGGUACUGGGGGAGGCGAGCGAGGCGACGGUACACGGGGGCACAGUGAGAUGGAGAUGGAGAUGGAGUGGUGCUAUGGGAGGGGAGAGGGAGACGAGGCGAGGCAUGCUAAUGUGCUGCACAGCGGCGGUGACAGACUGCACAGUGCACAUGGUGAGGCUGACUUUGGUAACCCGAACACGUCGCCUGGACUAGUGUCAGGCGCAGGGUGUUGUCACUUCACUGUGAGGACCGGAUGAAUAGUAUUUUGACCAUCAAGUGUACUACUACUACUACUACUACUACUACUACUACUACUACUACUACUACUACUACUACUACUACUACUAUUACUACACUCCUACUACUACUACUACUACUACUACUACUACUACUACUGCUACUACUACUGCUACUACUACUACUGCUACUGCUACUGCUACUGCUACUGCUACUGCUACUGCUACUGCUACUGCUNNNNNNNNNNNNNNNNNNNNNNNNNNNNNNNNNNNNNNNNNNNCUACUACUACUACUACUACUACUACUACUACUACUACUACUACUACUACUACUACUACUACUACUACUACUACUACUACUACUACUACUACUACUACUACUACUACUACUACUACUACUACUACUACUACUACUACUACUACUACUACUACUACUACUACUACUGCUACUACUACUGCUACUGCUACUGCUACUGCUACUGCUACUGCUACUGCUACUGCUACUGCUACUGCUACUGCUACUGCUACUGCUACUGCUACUGCUACUGCUACUGCUACUGCUACUGCUACUGCUACUGCUACUGCUACUGCUACUGCUACUGCUACUGCUACUGCUACUGCUACUGCUNNNNNNNNNNNNNNNNNNNNNNNNNNNNNNNNNNNNNNNNNNNNNNNNNNNNNNNNNNNNNNNNNNNNNNNNNNNNNNNNNNNNNNNNNNNNNNNNNNNNNNNNNNNNUACUGCUACUACUACUGCUACUGCUACUGCUACUGCUACUGCUACUGCUACUGCUGCUGCUGCUACUGCUACUGCUGCUGCUGCUGCUGCUGCUGCUGCUACUACUGCUACUACUGCUACUACUGCUACUACUGCUACUACUGCUACUACUGCUACUACUGCUACUACUACUACUACUACUACUACCACCUCCCCUUCAUCUUCAUUUGCAUCCAAACCCCACUGUGUUCACAUUGUUUUAACCUCUUUAAAUAAUCAUCUACUACUUCAGUUAGACUAGCCAUCUAAUCCUAAUUCUCCAAACCAUAGCCCUCCGUUCCAGCGGUUCCAAAUGGCGAAAGAGAUCGAGAUGCAGGUUUUUAGCGUCCAACAUGUCCUCGUCGAAGGCUCAUUGAGCAUAGUUGCCACCGUCACCUUCCACCCAAGGGUUGUUCGGAAGUGGAUCAACAAUGUAUCCAGCUCCCUCGAAAAGGUAGAGACGAGAGUCAUCGGUCUCGACGCAGAGUACACGGAGCGUGCCACUGGGAAGAUCCAACGCGCCGCCGUCCUUCAGCUGUGCCUCGAAGAUGAUGUUUUGGAGUACCACAUCAUACACACGCCCUCCAUACCAGGUGAGCUUCACAAUUUCUUGUCUUGGGAGGACAUAUACUUCUAUGCGGCAGCCAUCGAAGGGGACAAACAGAAGCUGGAGCCGUACAACCUUGAUUUGAAAAGCAUCGCUGACCUACAAACCAGAAUCAAAAUUCCUAUAGAAGAUUGUGAUAAACAGACACCAUCCCUAUUUGACGUAGCAAAUUUUGUGCUCAGUACAAAUCUUCAGAAGGGUGACGAGACGCUGGCAUUAAGGUUGUCUGGAUGGGAGAAUUAUCCCUUGACGUAUGAGCGGAUAAAAUAUGCUACCCUCGAUGCCCGUGUGAGUUUCGAGAUAGCUGCAAGGUCCAAAGAGCUUGUUGCGAAGCCGUCUCCCACAGAAAAUGAGAAGAAGAAGAAGAAGAAGAAGAAGAAGAAGAAGAAGAAGAAGAAGAAGAAGAAGAAAAGGCUGCACCAGCAGCAGGGCAUUAUGGAUGGAUGAACUAUUUCCUUUCUUGUACAAAAAAAUUAUUCCCUCUCGGUGUAUAUUGAUAUAGAUGGACUAUUUCGAUGGUGUGCAUGUCUUUGGAACAAGUAGUAGCGUGGGUCCGCUUGACUAGAAGGAACUAUUUAUCCGCCUAGCUUUCUCUACUACUCCUUACAGCGAUCGGUAUGCAAUGCAUGUGCCUGUAGACAUGAUAGCUUGUCCAUGGAAGUUCAACUACGGCGACCAUCACGUUUCAUCCACUGCCACUCGCGAUUCCCACGACGCCGCUCCAACCCACGGCACCACGUCCCCCGACGUGCGCCUCACCCCUCUCGGCCGCACCGCCCUUCUGCCUUUGUGUGCAUGACAUGUGGGCCACCUUAAAUGCGGUGAGCAUCAAGUUUCUACCACAGCCACACGCGAUUCCCACAACGCCGCACGAACCCAUGACACCACACGUCCCCCGACCUGCGGCUCACCUCUCUCGGCCCCACUACCCCUCUGCCUUCGGGAGCAUUACAUGUGGACCAGCCACCUAUCGGGUCCACAUGUUAUUGACUCAAAGGCAGGUGUAGUAAGGCGCUGAAGCUCAGUCCCGAGGGCCCUGAGAGGGAAAUGUAACUCCUGCGCCAGGCUGGUGCUACCGCUGCACGAACUCAUGCCAAACUCAAGAUUUGUUUCUUUACUAUACAUGCACGCAACGAUUUAAUGGACAUUGUAAUCUCAACAUGUGAUGGGGAGCUCUAAAUUUGAAUUUGAAACUUAUAAAACGAAAAGAUUCAAAACAAAUAAACAGGGAGAGAGGGAGUAUAUCAUAGGAUGUGUCCCAUACAAAACAAGUCCCCUAGUUUGUCACCGCGAAGAUGCGGUUAGAAAGGAGCACAACGUCUUCGUACUCGUACGGCAACAAAUCGUCCGCAGACAGCAUGGUCCAUCUUUGACCGCCAUGUGCAAGGUUCGUGCUAUCUUAUUCAAUCUCACCGUGGUUCCAUCAUACCAAUUCAUGCGGUGGCCCGUUGCAUGGCUGAUCCCAAUGUUGGACAAAGGUUCUACGGGAACAGUGUCACCGUUGUAAAUGUUGUGCAAAUUGAUGUUGGUACCCUCCCGUACAUAUGCAAGCCAAUCUCCACUCGCACCGAGCCUAACCUGUGAAACAGUGGGCAGGGGGAGAAUUAGGAAAUGGACAUGGAAGUAGUCUUUAGAAUGCAUUUACUACGUGAUCAAACUCAUCUUACCUGCUCAUCGGAGGAAAUCCGAGUGCCCCUCAACGUCGGCAUCUCAAGGGGCGUCAACUUGCAACUACGGCCACGCCGCGCUGGAGAGACCCCCAAGGAAACAUCCUCGUGCGUCCCACGGAACAUCAAGAUGCAUUUGUAUGAGUAGUUUAUCUUGUGAGAGAAAAGGAUGAACGAGGGAAGGCCUCUAGAGAUAGAGAUAGACACUACUACUACCAAUGUGCUGGCCCGUGCGUUGCAAUGGAUCCAAAGUAGUAGAAUAAUACUUGUUCACGUGCUUGAAAUAUAAACACUCUAGUUUUGAUAUACAUGUGUCAGCAGACAUGACAGCUUGUCCAUGGAAGUUGAACCACAGCGACCAUCACGUUUCUUGUUUCUACCACUGCCACACCCACACGCGAUUCCCACGACGCCGCUCCAACCCUACCUGUAAGCACGAUGUCCCCCGACAUGUACCUGGAUCCUCUGACGUGGCUAUCACUGCCUUACCCUGCCUUUCCUUUGCUGACAGGUGGGACCCACACUUGGGGGUCCCACAUGUCAGUGAAAGAAUGGUAGGAUUGUUCACGUCAGGGGAUCCUCAUCCCCCCGACGUGCGCCUCAUCCCUCUCGGCCCCACCGCUCCUCUGCCUUUGUGUGCAUGACAUGUGGGCCAGCCGAACUGCGGUGACCAUGAACUUUCUACCACAGCCACACCCGAUUGGACGCGGUUUGCCUGCUCCGCUUCUGUGCUCCGAUCCAUACUCCCGCACCAUCGAAUUUUCAUCCAGCGGCUGUGCCACAUUUCAUCCCGGGCAUCAAUCCUCAGCUGGAGUACUUCUGUACUACAGGUAGUACCCGCUGGCGUGGCCAUCUACGCCUCGUAACGCCCCGACGCCCAGCUGUGGCACCCUUUCCAUGGCCACGCCACCACCGGCCGGUUCAUCUCAAACGAGUGAGUCACAAACCACACCACCACCAUGAGAAUGACAUGUGGGCCAGCCGCAUUUAAGGUCUGCAUGUCAUUGACUCAUAGGCCGGGCACUAAGCCACUGAAGUUCGGUCCCGUGGGCCCCGAAAGGGAAAUGUAACUCCUGCGGCAGGCCUUGUGGUGCUCCCGUAGUACGAUCUCGUGCCAAACCCGAAAUUUGUUUCUUACUACUACUCCCAACUACUAGUAAGGUACACGUGCAUUGCACACAUGAGAUUCUGGUGGUUUGUGCAUUAUGCUUGUACAUGUGGAGUCUUCUAGAUUCUACAUGUGGCAAAAUCUGGUGGAAUGUAGAUGAUAUCCAACGCCAGUAGUGCUCGGAUUUGCCAUCUUUGUACUGUCGGAUUGGCUUCAUCCAACGACCAACUUUCAAAGUUAUUCACACACUAUAUAGGGGUAUAGAUGUUUGGUUUGCAGCCUAAGGUUGCCAUGCCUAAGCUUAGGCAUGCCACAAGUGUGUUUGCUUGCGUUCUCGUCUCAGCAUAGUUGUUCCCUCUUCAUGCAUGCUCAACUCAACACCCCUCUUCAUGUAUGCUCUCUUCAUGCAUGCUUCUAGUGUAUUUGUGCUAAGCUAGUGUGGACUCAUGCACCCUCCAUACACUCUACCAAACACCCAAAAGUGGGUCGAGAAGGGAACUCUUGGGAUCAGGCACCCUUCAUACACCCUACCAAACACACCAGGCAUGUGUUUGGUUCAUUGCUACACUUGUGGCUUGCCACAUUUUUCUAGCUACAUGGUCCACAUGUCAUAGACUCAACUUCUUGCCAAAUCUUGCCACACUUGAUGUGUUUCCUCUAGCCGAUGAUGAUUUUACACGUGGAAAAUCCCCAUUGGUCGGGGCUGUUAACGGGUUAUCGGAUCCAAAACCCGACUCGAUAGCUUAACGGCAUUCCGUUACGGUGGAUGCCACAUGUCAGUCACCCUUGACGAAAGCACUUCUGUGACGCGCGAUUUAUCGUCAUGGAAGUGGACACUUCCGUGAUGAUAAUUUUGGUAAUGUCAUGGAACACUUCUACGACAGCACAGGUAUGACUAUCUUGAUUCUGUCAUAAAAUCGUCAUGGAUGUACAUGCAUGACAAAAAACGCGACCUACUAUGACAAACACGUAUCAUCACGGAAGUGUAUUUUUUUUGUAGUGAAUAUAGCAUUUUUAGGACCAAAAUCUAGCUGAGCUACUUCCCCUUCUUCAUCUAUAGCACGAAAUACAGCGGGUAAGUAAUAAACCAUAUUAAUAUCCAUACCUUCAUGACCCGGUGUAGACUCAUAAUCAAGCAUUUCAUCCCCUUCCGCAAGCAUGUCCGCUGACUCCGAAAUAUCUCCAAGGGAAGAGGAAGUAGUAGGCAAAGUGGACGAUGUAAUAAUUGCCGCAUCGUCCUUCAUUGGUGGUGUAGGUGUUCCUGUGAUCACUUCAGAAGCUGCUAUGUUUUCUUUUUGCUUUGGCCUCCACACUUGUUUUGGGGGUACCAUGGGACGACUUUCAUUGAAUAAUUUAUCCCUUAACUUUUCUGCUUCUUGUUCCUCCUUCUCAUGACUCCUCAUGCACUACAAUCUCCUUUUUUGCGUCUUGGUCAGCCCAGAAGGACACCACUUAGGCUGAGUAUAUUUUGGAUCCCUCGACUUGGCCUUGCUUGUGCUAGCUUCAUGAUCAUUAGCCAUGGGACCCUUCUGGACAGCAGCCACAUCUUUAUUAGAAUCAGCUGGAUUACUAACAAUAAUCGGCUCUUUGAUUGUUAAUUCUUUAUCGCCUAUCAUAAUAGUUUCAACACUAGUAUUCUUCUCCUUUUGCUUGCUAGGCUCUGAAAUUUCAGCACUUGGUAAUUUAGCACGCCACACUUGCUUGCCAACCCUUUUUUGAUUAUCUUGUAUUGGCCGAUUGACACCAUUGUUCAAACGGCCUCGUGUGGGAUAAGAAAGUCUCUCAUGAACGGGCCUCCUUGGUUCUGCCCAACCCGGAUGAAAAGCAUAAGGGGCCAUUGGGGGCUGCCCCCAUCCUCCUUUGCAGCCUCCCAUGUAGUAUGGCGCAUAGGGGGGGGGGGGUGGCGCCAUCCAUAGUCCCGGUGCCCAUGACCCGUAUGGCCUUGCAUGAUGCUGAAAUUCUUCCAAGGAGGUGACCUUGAGCGCUUCAAAUUGGAUGACCGGUUAGAGCUAGAACCGGCCGCUUGAUUGGCAUACUUGGACAACAACAUAUCAAAAGUUGGCUUGAUUUUCUUGUGCUGUACUUUAGCUUCAUUCGUCUUCCACUUGCCAACCUCUCGAUUCUUGGGCUUAACAAAUUUGGCAUGAGUGUUCUCUUUUGCACUUGUGGUUGCCCCCUGGGUGUAGGAUUCUUGAUGGUGAUCUUGAUUAUCUCCUUCCCAUCGGGUUGCUUGUCAAGCACAACUUGUCUCCCCAAGACCUUGUUGCUCUCCUUAUUUUUCCUGGGCUCACCAAUGAGAAUAUUAUUCUUAUUAACUGAUUAGGCUAUGCUGGGCUGAAUUAACAUCUUCUUCUCCUCCAAAUCCAUGGUUUUCAUUGGGAAAGGCUGCUUAUCAACUUGCAUCUCAAAAAAAUUCAAUCGUCUGUCAUUAAUAGCCGAUUUUAUCUGUCGUCAAAAAACAUUACAAUCAUUAGUAGCAUGAGAAAAAGAAUUAUGAUACUUGCAAUAAGAACGUCGUUUCAGCUCCUCAAAUGACGGUAAACUAUGAGAUAUUCUAAUAAUCUUCGCUUGCAAUAAAGCAUCAAAUAUUCUAUCACACUUAGCAAUGUUGAAAGUAAAUUUCAUCUCUUCAUCAUGAUUCUUACGAAUCGGCUUUAAAUCAUUGCAAGUAAUUGGUUUGGUCUUAGAUGGCCAAAGAAAUUCAGCAGCAUAAAUAUCACCCUCAUCGUCCGAGUGGUCACUAUCAUACUCAAGCAUAUUCAUCUUAGGACGAUCAGUUUUAUACCUAUGCACCUCUUUAAGAUCUUUGCUUCGGCUUUCUUGAGCCAAAGCCCUUUGCAAGACUUGGUUGACAUUUAAAAACUCAUGUCCUUCUAGCCUUCCUGUAAUGUGAGUUCUCAAACCACUAAGCACAAGAUCAUCCAAAUCUCUUUCGGUUAUCACCAAACUAUAACACCGGUUUUUAGUUUCUCUAAAUCUCUUGACGUAAUCGGAGACUGAUUCAUCAUGCUUCUGUUUGACCGAUCUUAGAUGGGACAACUUGAGUUCAUUGUCGCCGCUAUAAAAGUGAUCAUGAAAUUUCUGCUCUAGCUGCGACCAAACCCGAAUGGAACCAUGUGGUAAAGAAGAAAACCAUGAAAAUGCAGUACCGGUUAAUGAUAAAGGAAACAAACACACUUUCAAUUCAUUUAGCAAGCCUGCCUCACCUAAUUGUGCUAAAUAUUGACUAACAUGCUCCCAUGUGGUUUUUGUGCCGUCUCCGUUAAACUUAACCAAAUAUGGAAUUUUAUAUCCUAGAGGGCACUGGAUGGCAUCAAAUUACUCGGGGUACGGCUUCUGGUAAAUCCGAUUCCGAGGUAACUCAACUCCAAAAUUCUCUCGAAGCAUCUUAGACAUCUCCUCUCUUAAAUUAGCUAGGGCAUCGACUGUAGUAGACGAUGAAGCUUGCUGCUGUGGCAUAGGAGGAAUAUGACUACUAGUUGUAGAUAGGAACUGUGGCAUGUAUGCCAAACCAUAGUUCGGUAGUGGCUGAGUGGUUGUACCUGUAGGUAAGGUUUGGUUCGGCGUUGCCACCGAACCUGGCAUGCUCAUAAUAGGAUUAAUUGGUGCAGCCACAAUCUGAUUUGUUUGGGUAGGAUAAUAAGUCAUCGGCAUGGCAGGCGCCGAUGAAAUAGGUAAAGCUAGAUUAGGGUUUUGCACACUAGCAACUACACCACCAUUACCACUAGAUGAUUGAGAUAUAUUCUUCUGAGCAUUAGUAUUUUCUAUGGAAGUUUGAUAGACCAGAUUGUUACCAUCUGCAAUACGACUCUCAAUCUCAGCCCACUUCUCAGGAGAAAAGGUAGUACUCACAGAUGGUUUAACCUGCUCGGCUUGAAGAGGAGGGAACUUUAUUUUUUCAAUCGGAGUGAUGUUGCCUUGGCGAUCCUUCUUGAAUUUUGCAAGGAACUCCUGCAAGUCCUUCUCCUCGCACGCCUUCUUGUACUCCUCAUAGACUUGGCGAUGAUUGGCCGAUAUCUCAUCAAGACUGGGCUUAAUGAUGUUAUCGGCGUCUACCUUAGAUGGCUUGGGAAGAUCAGACAUGGUGGAUGAUGAUGAUUGAUCUUCAGUCCCUAGCGGAGUCGCCAAAAAAGUGUGUUGACACACGAACACGUCACGUGUACCCUCAACACCGGGGGUGAUGCAUCAUAGCUCACGUCAAAGGAGACCCGACCGACAGCGCGAUACGCAAGACAGUCGGCGGGUGCUUUUGCGGAUCCGAAACCCCACACCCACGGGCGGGACCCGGUCAGGGAGUGCGGCGGCUAAGGGCUGACUAGGUAGAUUCGCUCGCCCCUAGAGCAAGUAGUAUAUUGAUUUGUUCGAUUGUGUGUUGUCUCAAUCGGCCGUCACCCCCAACAUAUAAAACAGGCGGCUGGACUUCCCGUACAAGCAAAGGAUUCAUCUAUGCUUUCCUUACAAGAAAAUUAUAUCAAUUCACGUCCUACAGUUCUAGUUUUAGUCCAACUCGGAUUCAGCCCGAAUCUGUCCCACACUUCUAUCCUGCUUCUUGCAUGGGAUGUAGAAUUUGCAUAUGACCUCCGAUUAAGAAGAUCAAAAUACCAAAUUUGUGCGCCUCGACGAGGCGAACAACUCUCCUGUUGAUCAUUUUUCCAAAUAAGGUCCUCUUCAAUACUUUAUGAGGUCACAUUUAACUUCUAGUCGGCUUUGGUCGUGCAGUUUUCUUUGCUGUCCGAGUCUUGCAGAAACUGUGCAGGCUGUAUACUAUCUCAGAUGAUGAUGACUCAAAAAGCAAAGUUGACCUUUUCGAUGAUACACAAAACUUCUGUGUAGAAAACUUUUCCAUCUGAGAUCAUCUGGAUACUCUUUUGAGCCCAUCUCCAACUUCUGGUCGGAUUGACUUUGACAGCUUCCACCUUUCCGGCAAGCUUUCCACGCCAGCAAGAUUUCACCCCGGCAAGCUUUCCACCCCGGCAAGGUUUCCACCCUGGCAAGAUUUCACCUCGGCAAGCUUUCACCAUGGCAAGCUUUCCACACCGGCAAGGUUUCCACCCCGGCAAGCUUUCACACCGGCAAGGUUUUCACCCCCGCAAGGUUUCCACCCCGGCAAGCUCUACACCGGCAAGGUUUUCACCCCUGGCAAGCUUUCACACCGGCAAGGUUUUACCCCAGCAAGCUUCAUUCAGCCGGCAAAGGCCGAAUAACUCACGUGACCCAUCAGACAGGGUGUCUAGUACGUCGCGCCAUAUUUCCGUUUAGGUUCAGUUUGUAGUGAAUUGUCUAACUUUUGCAUACGAACUCGGAUUGAGAUGAUUUAUAUAUCAAAAUCGAUUGCCUCAACGAGAAGAAAACAAUUCGUGUAGAUCAGUAUUCCAUAUGAUGCCGUCUUGGGGGCGUAAUUAUCUGAAUAGUGUCUGAAUAUAAAAUCCCAGUACUUCGAACACAACUUCUGCCUUGGAGAUGAGAUCGGAUGGCUAUUGCCCAAAUACCAAAGUUUCACCUUUUGACGAUAUAGAAAUUUCUCACUUUGAGCACUUUUCCAUUUGAGCCCAUCUUAAUUGUGUUUUUGACCAUGCCAAAAUCUGGUGUCAAUAGGGUCCACGAAGAAGCAACCUUGUCUAUCCCACAAUGGCCAUCGCCCAUGAAGGACUUGCCUCACUGUGACACCCUGGUUUUUGCCCUUUUUUUCUAAGUUUUAUUGCUUUUUGAAUUGAAUUUGAGUUUGUGAAUCAACUCAUUUGGACUUCAUCACUUGGGCAUUUCUUUGAUUUUCACCCAAGUGACUCAUCUCACCUCCAAACCCAUACCUUGCCCUCUGAUAUACCCAAAUAUAACCUUGGGAAUAUUUUUCUUAAAUGAAAAAUAUUCAGUUUCUUUCUGAAAUAACACUUCACUCACUUCUACUCCAAAGCAACCCUCAUUUUUCUUUCCCACAAAAUUCUGGGGAAAAUCCUGAAUGUUCUUUGGACCUGGACACACCUCCCUGUGCAAAAAAUAUUUCAUUGUUAUUUGGAAUAUUUUUUCUACAGAAAAUCUUUUCCUUUCUGGUCAGAAAAUGCAUGUUGUGAAGGAAGUGCAUUUUUCCUUGAUCCAAUGAAUCUCAAAUUUUUAGGGCUUCGUUACCCUCCUAAGUAAACCCUAGAUACCAAAAAUCAGCUCUUAACUCUCUCUAGAUUUCUCUCUAUCAAGCUCUAAAGUUUCUGUCCAGAAACUUGCCAUGAAGCUACAAUCGCACCCUGUCAGCCUGGCAUUAACUUGGAUGCUUGGAUCGACCUAAACUUGCGAAGACAACACCCAGACAUGAAUUUAUUGCUCGACGCAUCGCGUAGCCGGAGUUCCCGUGGUGACCGCGUUCGUCCAAGCGUGCUGGCAUGCAGCCGACGAGCUCUGCAUUGCGCCAUCGCCCCUGUUGAGCUCGUACUCGCGUCGCAGCUUGCCUUAGCCUACUGCACCACGCCACCACCCUUGUCUCUUCGCCCUUGACUCCUCCCUACCGCUCGCCGACGCCGAAGCUCGCCGCAGCGAGCACGGGCACGACGGGGCCAAGUGCACAGUGCGCCCGUGCCCCUGUGCUCAUCUCCACCCGUGUCCUGUACUCGUCCGCGCCCUUUCAGAGUGGCCGCCUGAGCUAUGGAGUCUUCCCCUCUCCCACUGACGCCCCUCGUCGCCUCCUGGAAACUCGAGACAGCUCGCGGGAGCCCGCCGUCAGUGUCAAAACCGGCCGAUCUCGGGUAGGGGGUCCCGAACUAUGCGUCUGGGGAUCAAAGGUAACAGGAGGCGGGGGACAUGAUGUUUACCCAGGUUUGGGCCCUCUUAAUGGAGGUAAUACCCUACUUCCUGCUUGAUUGGCUUUGAUGAGUAUAUGGGUUACGAGAGUUGAUCUACCUCGAGAUCGUAAUGGCUAAACCCUAGAUGUCUAGCCUGUAUGAUUGUGAUUGCCUCUACGGACGAAACCCUCCAGUUUAUAUAGACACCGGAGGGGCCUAGGUUGUACAGAGACGGUUUAUAGAGAAAGGAAUCUUCAUCUCCAAACGCCAAGCUUGCCAUCCAUGCAAAGGAGAGUCCCAUCUGGACACGGGGGAAGGCGUUCUAUCUUGUAUCUUCACGGCCCACCAGUUCGGCCCACGUCACAUAGCCUGGACGCCCGGGGACCCCCUGAUCCAGGACUCCCUCAGUAGCCCCUGAACCAGGCUUCAAUGACGAUGUGUUCGGCACGCAGAUUGUCUUCGGCAUUGCAAGGUGGGUUCCUCCUCCGAAUACUCCAAAGUAGUUGAAGAAGAGAACUAUAUCCAGCUCUGUAUUACAUUUACAACCCUGAACCACAAGGGCAAAACACUUUAAACAAAAUGAAUUAUGUCUACUGACAUCUUUUUCGCGGAGACGUUAUGUUCUGGCCUUAUCAUUAUUCCGAACAGUUUUGUGGCAUCCCGUUCCGCGCUUCGAGGCAGGGACUCUAUUGACAAGUCUUGUCAAAACAGAGAUAGUGUCCCCUUAUUGCGGGAUUCUCAUCAAUACGGGUUUGGGUAAUCCAACCGUGCCAUUCGUACGACCCCUUGGGAACAUGCGAGUUUUAAGGCUCGUGGGGGGGGGGGGUGCUUGAUAUUCACUGCCUUUAUAAGAGGAUAAAGAUCCAUCCUUUUACCCCACGCCUUCUUCUUCCUCCGCCCAUACGCCCACGAGCUCCAGCGCCCAAGUUUCAAUCCUUUCCGCCCCCACAAAGCACUCCAGCCAUGUCCGGAUCCGGCACGCAAGGCAAGUGGAUGGCCUCCUCCGUUACGGAGGGGAAUGUCAAGGAACUCCGGGAAGCGGGGUACCUGGCCACGGACAUCGCCCACUGGUUCCCUGCCAAAAAGCAGAUCAUCCCCAGCCUAGAGCCUAAUGCGAGGGUAGUGUUCAUGCCCCACGUCCUUCGCGGACAAGGGUUUCCACUCCACCCUUUCGCCCAUGGGCUCAUGUUCUACUACAGGCUAGAUUUCCACGAUCUAGCCCCGAAUUCCUUCCUCAACAUUUCGGCGUUCAUCGUCGUGUGUGAGACGUUCCUCCGCAUUCCCCCCACUUCGGCCUGUGGCUCAAGGUCUUCAAUCUGAAGCCGAAAGUGGUCGAUGGUCAACACGGGGAGUGUGGCGGCGCCAUGGUGAGCAAGCUCCCCAACGUCACCUGGCGCAAGGGGACCUUCGUAGAGACCGUGAAGGGAUGGCAACAGGAGUGGUUCUAUAUCACGGAACCCCGUGACACCACAUGGGCCGCCACUCCUGAGUUCAAAUCCGAUCCUCCAAUGCGGCUUGCAUCAUGGAUUAACAAGGGCCUGGAUUGGGCGUCGUCUGACGAGGUGAUGACGCUGCAGAAGCGCAUUAGGAGCAUGAGGGAGAAGAACACCAGUCUUGCCAACGUGAUCCAGGUGAUGCUUUUUUGCCGGAUUCUCCCCUGCCAAUGCCGGACUCUCCAUAUGUGGGAGUUUGAUCCGGCCAGUCCCCGGACCUUGUAGCGGUUCUUCGGCACAACGCAUGAAGAUAUGUGGAAGCUACUUUUCAAGGCCCAGAUGUCGUGACCGAAAAUGACCGAAGACCUCGGCCUCGACUGCGCUCAUCCAUCUACUCCAGUAAAUUUUUUGGAUUUCCAAACAUAUCCUCCACUUUGUAGAUCCAAGGAGUAUGCUAAGCCUUCCCCUCACCCUUCAGGGCUGAACGAAGAAGGCGGAGAGGAUUCAGUGUCCGGCUCUACUGCCCGAAGAUCCAGCUAUUCCUCUUCUAAUGAAGAUGCUGGUUCCGGUGCUGUACCAGGCGCCGGAGAAGAAGGCGAAGAAGAUGGGCAGGGAGGCCAGAAGUGGCCUUUGCAAUAAAGGUACUUUGAACAUAGCGUCCGAAGAUACCGAAGCUUUCUCCUCCCACGAGGGAGUGAAGACGAAGAGGAAGAGGAGGAGAGAAAUUCUCCCCUUAAGGGGGGAAAGAAGAAAAGGGGGGCUUCCAUGGACCUAGAGGCGAAGGCGUCCAAGAAGGGUAAGAUCUCCCUGUUGGACCUUUCGGAAUCGGAUGCCGAAGCCGUCCCUGAGUGGCACCCUAGGCCGAAGCCCCUGGCCGAAUCGUAAGUAUUCAAAGAUAUAGUAUAUAUCCGGCCUUUUACAAAUUGUAGGAUAACAUAUCAUCUAUGUGUUUCAGUCCGGCCCGUGAUCUCCCCCAACAAUCAUUGUCUUCGGGGAAUUCUUUGGUGCCAGAGAUGAUGGAGAGUGAAACGCCUCCGCGAGCCUCUCCGCUUCAUGCCGCGGAAGACAUCGAGGUGUUGUCCCAGAGGACAUCUCCGGGCCAGGGAGAGGUGCGGAAGGCCACGGAAACAGUGCUUGAGGAUAAUGCCUCGGCUGCCAAAACCAUGGGGGGCACAACCCCCACAAAAACUUAUGACGGGGGCCCGGACCAGUCCGCCCCCCUGCCGAAUACAACUCCGGAGACCCAUGUGGCUCCGGAAUUGAGCGAGUAGCCCCCUUUGGAGGAGGGGGAGCUCCGACUGCCCCGACGACCUCCAUCAAUCCAGAGGCGCUGGAUACAUUGAGGGAAGCACUUCGACGUGCUUCCGUCGUGGAAGAGCACCGUACCCUAAUGGGUACGGUGGUUGAGAAGGUUCAGUCCAUGAAAAGCGGGUUGAACGAAGCUUUUACCAGCCUGCUAACGGGCUUUGAGGUAUGCGACCUAAUAUUCUUAGCUGCUUGUGCAUGUGUAAAAAUAUGCCUGUGUAUAGAUAGUAGCCCCUGAGACUCUAUUCGGCUUUGCGAAAAAGGGGCCGGACGGAGGAUCAAAUAUUCCAGAGAUAACAUACUUGUCUAUUGUGAUGAACAUGCUUGAUUGCUAGCAGCUUCAGCCAAGGACGCGGAAGUUUCCGAACUCCAGCGGAAACUGAAGCUGGCUGACGAUGAGAUCGACCGUAUUAACAAGCGGUUCGAUGAGGCCCAAGGUAUGCUUUUCAAAGACCCCUUACGAGCCUGAUAUCUAAUGCAAACUUAGAUUUUAACUCAUGUGCUGCUAUGUGUAUGAUUGUAGGCACCGCAGCCGAGGUCGAGACCCUCAAGUGUGCCCUUGCACAGGCCCAGGAAGGGGUAAGGGCGAGCAAAGCGCCCGCUGACAAAGCGGUUGCAGAGCUAGAAGCCGAGCAGGUGACCCAUUGUAAGUGUGAGGCGCGGGUGACCGAAGUGGAGCAGGCGCUCCAAGAUGCCGCCAACAGGUGCGAGACCAUGGAGGAGCAGAACAAGGCCCAGGCGGCCGAACUCGCCAAGGCCCUCCAAGAGGCCAAGGAGGCGCGGUCCGAGUCCCAAGCGGCUCACGAGGAGAUCAAGCAAGCUGAACAAAUAGCGGCUGGUAAGCCUUUUCUUUUACAGAGUAUAUUUGGCGGUCGAAGAUAUGCUUUGCUAAAUCGACUGUGGAGUACUCCAGACGCCUUUGCGGAUCUCCCGAGGAGUGCUGCCAAUGCCGCCCAGUAUUUUCGGGCCCAAGAAGGGAACGCAAGGGAGAAGCUCUUCUGGUGGCAGUACCUGGGGUCAGAGCGUCCAGCACUGCUAAACAACCAGAUGAUGCAGCUGGUGGAGCUGCAUACACUACUAGGGAAAAGCUUAUAGGAAGACGCUUACUAGUAGUGCAGGUUUACACCCCUCGCUACUACUAAUUACUAGUAGCGUAGGUUAUAAACCCAUGCUACUACUAAGUUGAUAGUAGUAGUGCGGGUUUUUACCCCUCGCUACUACUAAGUGAUUUCCACCGUGCCUUCCGAGACCAACCGUAGUAGUAGCGCGGGUUAUAAACCCACGCUACUACUAAGUUGAUAGUAGUAGCAUGUGUUAUAAACCCCACGCUACUACUAAGUGGUCUCCACAGUGCACCCCGGGACAUGCCAUAGUAGUAGCGUGGGUAUAAACCCAGCGCUACUAUUAUCAACCCACCGACACAUGUAUAAACAUAGCGCACGGAGGCCCAAUCCCAGGCUCACACUCUCUUGAUUUCACUUCUCCCUCCCACCUGCGACGCCCUUCCUCGCUCACCGCAACUGCCGGCCUCGCACCUCGAUGUCUCCCUCAAAUCGGGCGACCUCCUCUUCCACCGUAGUCCCUCCUUCCUCCUCCUCCUCCUCCGUUGCCCCUCCUUCCUCCUCCUCCUCCGCUGCUGGAAGGAGAGGAAGAUCCAGCAGAGCACCACCCAUGACGAUGGCUAGAUCUCUGAUGGAUGCAACCCAUGGCGUCUUCUAGGGUUUCGGCUCCAACUCCGGCAGCCACUGGUGAGUUGCUGCACCUACUCCUCUCUAUCUCUCUCUUCCUCUUCUAAUCCUUGUCUCUUUUUUUGUAGUAGCAUCAAAGGAGAAGUGUGCAGAAGAGUUAGAUGGGGAAGCACCAUCUCCAUGGACGACUUCAUCCCCUCCAUGAUCAGCAUCUGCCAUGGAUGAAGAGUACGAUGACGCCUAGCAGCAGCAACCAUGGCUGGAAUUUAUUUUUUUAUUUCCUAAUUAGUUAGUAGUAGCGAGGGUCCAGAACCACGCUACUACUAGUUAGUAGUAGCGCGGGUGGUAUGCACGCUACUACUAACAGACGUAGUAGUAGCGCGGGUGGCACCCGCGCUACUACUACUAGUUAGCUGUAGUGCCGUAUCAGUAGCGCGGGCACCCGCGCUAAUGAUAUACCUAAAACCCAUGCUACUGCUAGGCUUUUCCCAAGUAGUGAUAGGAUGUCCGGUUUGGCCAUGAAGGACAUCUUAGUCCGGCUAUGGCUAGCCGGACCCAUUCCAAGCAGCUACUUUGGUCUGGUCAAGCGGCUCAGUGACGCCUUGCCCCGAGUAGAGGCAGUGAAGCGCUCGGCAUGCAUAGAAGGUGCGCGGAUGGCCUUUGCCCAUGUCAAGAUGCACUUGGUGAAGAUGAAGGCCGCCAACGUGGCGGUUGAGGGUCCGCCCAGAGGCAAGGACCACCGCAAGCCAGAGCGCUAUUUUGAAGAUGUCCUUAAGGGUGCCCGUUUGAUAGAGGGUCAAUGCUCGAAGGAUAUCAUGUUCGAGUAAAUGUAUCCGAGCUACCCGGACAAUGUAUCAUAAACCAAGUCCGUGUAAUAUAUUUUAUGCAUUUAUCUGAACUACUUUCCUUCUGUGCAGCUGUAUAUUAUUAUUCUGAAAGUUUACCAGUCGUCAGCUUCAGCCCCCACGUAGAUACUACGGGGGUGUUCGGGAUAACGUGUAAUCACUCUUGACCCAACGUCUUGGUCUGUGAAGGAGGUGAUUUACGUAUUGAACCAGGCAAUCAGACUAUGCGGCUUUAGCACUUUCUCUUAGCCAUAGGAGUUUGAUAAUGGGACUGUGAGGUAGCCCCUGGUGCGUAUGCGGCUAUCCGGACUUGGAUGCCUUAAGCGCAUGACUGGCAAGAGCCAGUCCUUCAUGUAAUACAGAAGAAAUCGCUAGUGAUUUAGUAAGUCGCCGAAUUGCUGACCGGCUCUCACCGCAUCAUGACAGUCAGUUUUCGGCUUUCUCUACGGAGGUGUUUGACCGGACGAACCAGAAACACAAUUGCAGUAGUUCUCCCUUUACAAUCUUAGCCGAACCAUCGGAAUGUAAGGUAGCAAACACAGGAGCCGGGCAACCCAACUAUUGACCAAAGACAUGAUUCGGAGCCGAUGCAUAUACUGCAGUAUUAAGGACGCCGAAGUCUACUCUGACGGUGUUCAGACUUUUCUGUUUUCACCAAUAUAUAUGGCUGAAUAGAGCCCCUGGCAAUUUAAAUCGUGCCAAGGUGUAUAUGCCAAUCUAACUUAAAGGGGAAGACGGAUUAAGAAAUAAGCCCAUACCGAACAAUGUUGGGCGAAACUGUUCCCAUUAAAGUCUGAUUGGCACGUCAAAACGUAAUUUUACAGAGGAUGUCAUAAGCAUCAAGGAUAUUUUACAUGCCGGAGACAAGGGAAAGAUGUAUACAGGUCCUAAAAUUGAAAAGAUGAUCUUGAAGAUCCUCUGGACACUCCACCGCACGUCUCCGCCGCUUUUCGCCUUGGUGUAUGAUCCUUUGAGAGGAUCAACUAUCGGGUAUACAUAAGGGGCCAUAUUUUUAGUAUGCCUUCGUCCUUGCCCAUGGUAUCUUUAGAGUGUAGUUAUGUACACAUGGUACGUAUGAUGCUACCAGGUUGAGGCGUUGACGGAGGCCGAAUUGCUAAUCUAGCUCUGGACGAGCCGGACUGUCAUUCUACAGGGUAGACCGGACUCGUUUGUUAGUGUCCGGGGGCUUGACUACCGGAAUAGUAUUCGGCUUGAUAAGGCCACCCUGUCCUUCGACUGCGAGAGCCGCGGUAUGCUCCUCAGUACGGAGGGAGCGCUCCAUGUUUCCAUUGACUGUAAUAACGCCACGAGGUCCAGACAUUUUGAGCUUUAAGUAAGCGUAAUGCGGGACCGCAUUGAAGUGGGCGAAGGCGGUUCUCCCGAGCAGUGUUAGCAACUGCAGAAAGGGACGAUAUCAAAGAUCAAAUCUUCACUGUGGAAAUUAUCCGGCGAACUGAAGACCACAUCCAGCAUUAUGGACCCUGUGCAACAGGCCUCUACGCCGGGUAUUACUCCUUUAAAGGUAGUUUUUGCGGGCUUGAUUCUUGAUGAAUAUAUACCCAUCUUGUGAACGGUGUCCUGAUAAAGCAGAUUAAGGCUGCUACCGCCGUCCAUGAGGACGCGCGUGAGAUGGAAUCCAUUGAUAAUUGGGUCGAGGACCAAUGCUGCCGAACCUCCAUGACAGAUACUGGUCGGAUGUUCUCUGCGAUCGAAAGUGAUCGGACAGGCUGACCAUGGGUUGAAUUUUGGGGCGACUGGCUUAUGGCAUAGACGUCCCUUAGUGCGCUCUUGCGCUCCCUUUUGGGGAUAUGUGUAGCAUAUAUCAUAUUCACCGUUUUUACCCCCCCGGGGGGGGGGGGAAUUUCUUCUGUCCCCCUAUGUUCAGUGGGCGAGGCUCUUCAUCAUCGUCCUCGCUCGGCUGCCCUUUCCCCUUAUGUUCAGCGUUUAGCUUGCCGGCCUGUUUAAUGACCCAGCAAUUCCUAUUGGUAUGAUUGGCAGGCUUGUCAGGGGUGCCAUGAAUCUGGCAAGGCCGAUCGAGUAUUUUGUCCAAACUAGAUGGACCAUCCUUGUUUCCUUUGAAUGGCUUCUUCCGCUGACUAGGUUUAGAGCCACUGAAUCCGGCAUUGACCGCCAUGUCUUCGGUAUCUUCGUUAUUGCUUCGGCGCUUGUGUUUGUUGUGUUGUGGCUAGCCAUUUCCAUCCCUGGUUUUGGAGGUGCCAGGGUCGCUGGUGCUAUUGCUUCUACGAGCUAGCCAGCUGUCUUCUCCCGCGCAAAAGCGGGUCAUAAGUGCAGUAAGGGCUGCCAUGGAAUUCGGCUUUUCUUGGCCGAGGUGUCGGGCGAGCCAUUCGUCCCAGACGCUGUGUUUAAAGGCCGCGAGGGCUUUGGCGUCCGGACAGUCCACAAUUUGGUUCUUUUUAAUUAAGAACCUGGUCCAUAGCUUCCGGGCUGAUUCUCUGGGUUGCUGGACUAUGUGACUAAGGUCAUCGGCGUCUGGAGGCCGGACAUAGGUACCUUGGAAGUUGUCUCUUAAGGCAUCCUCAAAGUCUUCCCAACUACCACUAGUAGAAAAAGGGCCAUUUGUCCCGGUUGAGGAACCGGGACUAAAGGGUCGUUACUAAAGCCCUAGGCCUAUAGUCCUGGUUCUUACACGAACCGGGAUAGAUGGGCCUCCACGUGGCCGUUGCGGCGAGCCCAGGCAGGAGGGCCUUUGGUCCCAGUUGGUGGCACCAACCGGGACCAAAAGGCAUCCACGCGUCAGCAGCUGGGAGGAGCUGAGGUUUUUGUUUUUUUGUAAGUGGGUGGUUUAGGGGUUUUGGGGGUUAAUUUAGGUUGUUAGCUAGCUAAUAGAGAGAAGUGUCCUCUAUUAUCUCCGUGCUUGAUUUACCAACGCUACUGCUAUGCCUAAACAUGGCUUAGACUGAAGUGAAGGCAACAUGUGGUGCAUGUCGAAAGUAAUACUAAUCCUAACUUGAUCAAGUUUGGAUUGUACUACUUUCGACAUGCACCACAUGCAUGUUGCCUUCACUUCAAUCCAAUCCAUGUUCAUUUCACCCACUGAUAUAUAAUAACUCUUCAUGCUCGCAUCAUGCAUCAUCAUAAUAACAAGUCCUACUAAUCAUCAUCAUACAACUUCUACUCGUUAUUAAUAACAAGUCAUACGAUCAUCAUCCUCAUACUCAUCGAACCAACCCUACUUAAUUGUUCUUAGCACGUGAUCACCAGUAUUAGGUAGGAGCUAAAUACCCUCUUUAAGGUAAAAUAGCAUAAAACAAUAUAGACCCGGACUCUCCAUUAUGGAGAAUGGAGAUCAUCCUGUCUCCAAUUCUUGCGCUUCGCUUCCUUUUGCUUCCAGGAACCUCCUUACGAUUGUCCAUACAUUUUUUCCAUUCUUUGAUUUUCAUGUCUCCACUUCUGUUAGAAAUCUGGUAUGGACAGUUGAGAUUCUUAGGAUGACCUGGCUGUAUGUUCAAAACAUCAAGGCUACCAUUCUGAUACAUCAAAUGAGGCACACAAUCCAUUGGGAUUCUCUGUUGAAAAACAUAGUAAUAACUUCAUAGUUAGCAAUGAUGUACUAGUUUUAGAAGUAUGCAAAAGAUGCACGGACGUCGUAAUAGUAAAAAAUCUUACCAGGGUAUCUCCAUGGAAGUUACCGUAGUUGAACAUGUGCACUAGUGGCAUGUAUUGACCAUAAUAUUGAGGAGUUUGAUUGUAGAUAUUGGAAUUCUCAAGAUCUGUACAAAAUGCGAUCAGAUGAUUUUUCUCCUGAUAAGUUAAUUCGGAGCCUUCGGUGUAGUAGGUUCUGUCUACCAUCUUCCGCACAUUCUUUGAAGAAUGAAAAUAAGCUGUCAAUGGAAAUAAGCUGUCAACUAUUUUCAAAUAAACAAUAUAAAUGAGCUAAUAACUAUAUUUGAGAAACUCACAUAGCGGUAGUAUUGGAGGCGUAUCAACAAGGCCCAAAUGUCCAUAUUGCCUUGCUCGAUUUCAGGAUCACCAAGAUCCAUGGUGACAAGCAUAUCCUCAUAAAAACCAUACAUCUUGCAAAGUGCUUCCCAUUUUUUGCAACCAAAAUGGGUUACGCUCUCAGAAUUGUACAGAUUUACUUCAAAAUCCAUACCAUGAUGGGUCCUUAGGUGAAUUUUCUUUGUUUCGAAACUUUCAUGAUCUUCAAAACCCAUCCUCUCAAAGACAUAGCGUCUUGCAUGGCAUGGGAUAAGCUAGUCGAAUUGUAAAAGAUGAAAAGUACACGUUGAAAUAUUUGAAGUCGUGCUUAAUUACGAAAAAACACUUGUCGUCGUUGCGUACCGUUUUAACAUCGAAGGUCUCCUCGAGCUUAAUGCUGAAGCGCCGAUCUUCGUCUAGGUGAGGCCUGUCGCACAGACCUCGGUCAUCGUGGCACCAGUCGCACUCCCCCGGGAGACUUUCGUCGUUCGAGUACGACAUUUCCUAUGUUCAUAAUUCAAAGAUUAAACUUGUACAAUUAUAUAUAUGUACUACAAAAACUAAAUUAGAACAUUAUUAUUCAUCACGGGUUGACUAUCGGUCUGCCGAGCCUUUUCUUGAAAACUCUCAGCUCACGUGGUGUAUAUAUUCGACCGUCGGUGAUGGUAGCUCCUCCUUUCGUUCCCGAGUGCAUUGCACCAAAUUGUCUAGCACACAGGAACGAAGGAGAAGCUACCCCCAUGACAACAGUCGUGAUUCUUCGUCCUCUCAUAUAUGGUGGGGACUCUCCCUCACUGAUUGCUCUCUGACAUUUGCGACCGUCGGUGAUGGUAGCUCCUCCUUUCGUUCCCGAGUGCAUUACACCAAAUUGUCUAGCACACGGGAACGAAGGAGAAGCUUCCCCCACGACAACAGUCGGGAUUCUUUGUUCUCUCAUAUAUGGUGGAGACUCGAUAGACUUAAAGUCAACCCGAAAUAUCGUUUAAUUAAUAUGGAGAUUUGGCUGGUCUCACCUCGAGGUCGGAGGGGGGUCGGUGACGGGGAUGACGGCGGGGAUGAUGGAGGGGGCUCCUAGAUUUCUGCAAAUACAUAAACCCUAUAAGCUAUCAACUAAUCAAAUGUAUAUGCCUUGCAUAGUGCUCUCCAAUUUUAGCAUUCAAAGUAGGAGUAGUUUUCCAAUUUGAGCAUUUAAUAAGCAAAACCAAAUCGUAAAAUAAAGUAGCAUUCAAAUUAGCAUGCAUUAAAUUAUAAGCAAAACUACAUCAUCUCUUGCCUCCGUACAUCGUCAAAUAUUAUCACUAAUACACCUCGAAUAGUAUCAUACAUAUAGCAUCGCUAAUACAACUAGAACCGUAGCGCCCGACGGGUAUCAGCGUGGGCAGUGGACACCCAAAGAGGACCAUCACAGGAUCAUAGCUCCAGUGAGAUCCCUGAAGAACCUGCCAGGUAUUGUCAAACCUGCCCUCCAACGCAACCAUGUAGCGAUGGACGUGCUCGUCCUCCUCGCUGACAUGGUGACGUACCACCUCCGCGGUGUCCGAAAGCCUUGGCAUCGUCACUGGCCCACGCGACCGCCACCAAACAAGGUUCGGGUCAACGACGGGCUGGCUCCUCACCAACCUACGCCCCCCGGAACGUAGCACCUCCCAAUACCAGCCCGGCGGAGCCCAGUCCCGGACAUGGCUCCUCUGAUCAAGCAGGCCUGCUCCGCCGAGUCAACGACGAGGAUGCGGGAUAGGCAUCGUCGACGUCGAUGCGGGAAUAGUUGCUUGAACUAAAAAAAUAAACUAGUUCUAUUAAUUUUCUUGCUAAAAAUAAACUACUUCUAUAGUAAAAUAAAGUAGUUNNNNNNNNNNNNNNNNNNNNNNNNNNNNNNNNNNNNNNNNNNNNNNNNNNNNNNNNNNNNNNNNNNNNNNNNNNNNNNNNNNNNNNNNNNNNNNNNNNNNNNNNNNNNNNNNNNNNNNNNNNNNNNNNNNNNNNNNNNNNNNNNNNNNNNNNNNNNNNNNNNNNNNNNNNNNNNNNNNNNNNNNNNNNNNNNNNNNNNNNNNNNNNNNNNNNNNNNNNNNNNNNNNNNNNNNNNNNNNNNNNNNNNNNNNNNNNNNNNNNNNNNNNNNNNNNNNNNNNNNNNNNNNNNNNNNNNNNNNNNNNNNNNNNNNNNNNNNNNNNNNNNNNNNNNNNNNNNNNNNNNNNNNNNNNNNNNNNNNNNNNNNNNNNNNNNNNNNNNNNNNNNNNNNNNNNNNNNNNNNNNNNNNNNNNNNNNNNNNNNNNNNNNNNNNNNNNNNNNNNNNNNNNNNNNNNNNNNNNNNNNNNNNNNNNNNNNNNNNNNNNNNNNNNNNNNNNNNNNNNNNNNNNNNNNNNNNNNNNNNNNNNNNNNNNNNNNNNNNNNNNNNNNNNNNNNNNNNNCUUAUUUAUUUCUCCUCUUCUUCCUCUCUUCUUCUUCUUCUUCUUCUUCUUCUUCUUCUUCUUCUUCCUCUUCUUAUUUACCUUUUUCCUCUCCUGCUUUUUCUUCUAAAUAUGAAUACAUAAAUGACUUUGAUCAUACACAAUUUUACUAUACAUACACAAUAUGAACAUAUACAUAAAUUGACAAACAAAAUUCUAUGAACAAAAAAUAUCAUAAAAAUUCUAUGAACAAAAUUACAACAGAAAAAAAUCAUAAAAAUUCUAUGAACAAAAUAAAAAUUCUAUGAACAAAAUUAAAACAGAAAAAAUCAUAAAAUUGUAUGAAAAAAUUGACAUAUUCUUUGCAUAUGAACAUACAAACAUUUGCAUAUUCAACAAUAAUAUCACCAACAAAAUCUAUGAACAGAAAAAAAA